UAUUGGAAUUAGAGUUAAGAAGACCUAGGUUCAAGACAUGUUUCUAACUUGAUGGCUAUAUGUGGCAAGAGAAACUCACUUAACCUUCCUUUUUUUUCAGUUUCUUCACCCCUAAAAUGGGAUUAAAAAUUUAGUUUACCCUUAUGCACAGAGCUGUUGUGAGCUUCAAGUGCUCUAUCCUAUGAAAAAUAGCCUUUUACAAAUAUUAUUCUAUAGUAGGCCAUAUCUUUAUAGUCACAUAAUUGGAACAGAGGAGGAGAGAAUUCAAGUUCUUACUUUGCUUAUUGUUUAUCAACACUAAAAAAACAUUUCAUUUGCAGAGUAAAAUACCCUUUUAAAAGCCAUCUGUAAUCUAAUUGUCAUGGUCUGAUGUUUUUGUCCAAGAAAAUAUCUCCCGUGCCUUUUUUAAAACAAUGUAAGAUUUCUUGAAAGAUACAAAACAGUUUGUUUCAAUGUAUUUCUCUGGUGAUUAAUAUUGAAUGAAACACAAAAUAUGGACUUGUUAUCCAUAUUGUGUAAGUUUCUGAGAAGGUCCAAGGGGAAGCAAUCUCCUCUGUAGAUCAUGAAGUUGUCCAGAUGCUUCUGAUUGUGAGUGACAUUCUUUUAACUAUAGUAAAAUCCAAACACUGCAAAGCCUCCUAAAUGAGGUCCAUAAUCACUUAAAAGAAUUCAUUUGAACCACUGAAACCAAGAAAAAAUAGCACAUCAAGAGCCUGUGCACUGACUUAACGUCAGAAGACCAUCUUAAACAUUUCCUGACUAAUUGAUGCUACUGGCUUUCCUCUUUUGAUUUCUCAUGUUUAGGUUGACUCUAAGUUGUUUAUUCUUAUUUGUUUGCAUGUUGUCUUCCCCAUCAGAAUGGACUCCUUGAGGGCAGAGACUUUUUUUGCCUUUUUUCAUAACUGUAGUGAUUUUAAACCAGUUUCUGGCACAGAGUAGGUGCUUAAUUAAUAUUUUCUGCCACAACUUGAAGAAGGCUUCUGACACAUUGGUUGGAAUCUCUGUUUUAGAUCUCUGGAAUGAUGUGGAAAAGAUUCUCAAAGAAUAAGAAAAAUGGAUGGUUUGUGAUCUACCCACUUUGAAGGAUUAUUCUCAUUAAUAAAUUUGCAGAUCAUCAAAAUAAGGAUAUAUUGAAAUCUAUAUUGGUCUCAGAAGUAGCAAUUGCUUACUUCAGAAAUAUUUUCUAUUUCCGUGGGUUUAUUUUUAUAUAUUUGAGUGUUAUCAGAAAUUACAUUACUUAUGAAAAAGUAGCUCCUGUUUUGCCACCAAAAUCUAGUUUGCUACAAUGCAAUUUAUCAGGCAACUUAGUUCAGAAUUCUUAUUAAAAUGAAUGGGUUUUUGUAGGGGGGAAAUCAGUGGCUAAAAGCUGUCAUUGGUGUAUUGAAGCUUCUUUUUUAAAAUGUGCUUCUUUGUUGACAACUUGGCAUACCCUUUCUUAAUAUGUUGGCAGAAGAGGAUAAUUAUGUGUCUAUGCCUCUAGGGGCUCUGAAAUCUUAAGAUUCAUUGGGAGGGAAGACACCAAAUAAUAGUCAUGAUGUUGAAACCAGUGAAUCUCUUUUGCUUAGAAGUUGACUCUAUCAAAUAUAGUUUGUUUUUUUUUUCCUAUAAAAGAUGUUAAAUGAUACUUGAAUUACUAAGAAAGUUAAGCUUUUUUAAGACCUUAUUAAAACUGAAAAAAGAAUCACUCAACUCUUCUAAUUACUACAAUUUUGUAAAUGUUUUAGACUUGUAUUUGGUAAAGAAUAAAAAGAAACUUUAUUUUAAGAUUUGUUUAUUUGGGCUAAAAUGCCAGUAUUGUAUCUAUCUAGAAUGAAACAUUUGUUUGUAAGUUUUCAAUUCAGAGGGGCUGUUGUUUAAAAAUCUAAUGUUCCUUAUUGUGUUUCCAAGGGGAAAAAUGUGAUAGCAAAUUCCCUAGUAUAUAGCAUGGUUUGUCCUCCUACCUACCCUCCCCACCAACACACACAAAAUAAUGCAUACAUAUACUCUAAUCCUCAUAAUUAGCUUGUUGUUAGAGGUCUAAAUAAGAGAGAAAAACUCCCACUAAAUAAACAGGUGCUCAAAGGACUUGUUGUUCAUGAUAAAUUAUACAAAUAUUUUCAGAUAUUCAUACACAUUCUUAUGAUUCAGAGAUGAAUUUGUUAAAAAGAAGGAAUCUUAUACCAAAAUUAAAAGAUAUUUUAAAAGAGUUACCCCACCAAAGUGUUUUGGUGUUAAGAUAAAAAUUCAAUAGCAGAUACUUUUUCAAAAAUAAAAAAUUAUAUUGAAUUUACUCAUGUUGAAAAUAUAUCAUCUACCUGGAACAAAAUUAUUGCUAUAGAUUUCAUUUUGCCAACUAUAUAUAUGUAUAUAUAUAUAAUCAUUGCACUUAAAUUAUUUUUUUGUCAGAGCUGUAUCCUCACAAUGAAUAAUUUUGUAAACAUAUUGUUGCUUUGCUCAUUUUCUUUUUUACUGCAAUAGCCUCUUUUAAUAAAUACCUGAGAAGUACUAUUUAGAUUUUUGAUUCCUCGAAAUUUCUUGUAGUAUUUCUCUUUUAAAAUACUUUUAAUUUUUAUUUUAAUUUUAGUUUAUUUAGAUAAAUGGUCAGCUAUUAGCCUAAAAAGGUGAAUCAUAAUAAUAUUUUCCAGCUAUAUUCAGGACUUUCUUUUUAAGUGACAGUUUAAAUGUUUAUAGUAAUAAUUUAAAGAAUAAAUCCUAGUACAUUCUCAUUGCCACAAGUUGCCAAGAAUCACGACCUAAAGUUACCCUUUUUAUGCAGAGAAAAUUAAGAAUGUUUACAUCUCAAUAGAUCUUUCAUUAUAUACAUAUCACAUGUGUAUUGUAUGUUUUUAGUAAAUAUUACAAUUAGAUGAGAUAAAAAAUAUUUAAGGAGGAAUUGGGUUAGAAACUUCUUUAACUGCUGGUCUUUAAGGGAAAAAAUGUAUUUUCUUAAAAUCCUUUUAUUUACUCCCAGGUCCUGAUACUCUUUGUGGGGAAGAUGCUGAAUGAACUUAGCCAUUUGUUGAAACAGACUGUAUAACAUUCAUAUUAAAUCUAGCCAAAGCCUACUUCAAGGUGAUAGCUCCAUGACAAUAUGGGUUACUUCAUAAACAUACCAAUCCAAUGCUAAUACUCACCAGGUAGGAGAAUACAGAAAUUUCUAGGUAGCUCAGAUGUUAAUUUUUAAUAUAUUUAAAAUUCUAUUGAUCAUUUCUAGUUCAUUUUUUCUGAAUUAUUACCCGAAUUUUAUCACAGAACUUUUUUAUGAAUUCCAUUUUUUAAAAUUGUUCCAGUGAUAAUUACCAAAGAGCAUAUUAGGGCAUCUGUACAGACCACAAGAAAAGUGGCACAAAAGUCCAUCUGCUCAACAGCUAAUAGCAAUAUUUGGAGGCAUCAAACGCCAUUAUUAAUUGACCUUGGCAACUUGGUUUUAAAAAAAUCUUUCAUAUGCAUUUUAGUGCAGAUGGUGAUCGCCCCAGAACUGUUGCUUCAAGCCAGAGAUCACAAGCUAUUUUAAAAAGAGCAUAUCCCUCGACAUUCUUCCUACUGAUCAUGGCCCAUUAACAGUACUAAACUCCAGAGGGAGAGUGGGGCUAGUCAAGAACUCUGCUUGGCUGCUUCAGGGCAGAGCCAGUAUUCUGCAGUCUAUUGCACUAAUUAUGCACUCUUGAUGAGAUCAUUAGAGGACAAUAAAGGAAAAUGAAAACAGUUUGCAAUAUGUGUGGACAAAUUUUCACAAAGAAGAAUUUCAGAUUUGUAUUUAAAUGCUGAGUAGAAAUUUCCCAUUAUGAAAAAGGUCAAUAAUUUCUUUAAGUUAAAUCUUUCAUUUUCAGUUGGGCAAUGUAGUAGGAGAUAGAAAAAGCAAUUGGAGUCAGAAAGACCAGAGUUUAGGUCCCAUGUCUAAAUUUUAUUACUAUUGUGAACAUGGAUGGGCAAAACACUUAACCUAUCCAAACCUGUUUCCUGUCAUUGAAAUAAAAAUGAUGACUGUAUUUACCUCACAGUGUUGCUUUUGAAGGUCAAAUGAGAAAGCAUGUGUGUAGCAUCUGAGGAUUAAAUGCUUCAGUUGAUGUGAUUUGGUGCUCACCACAUGAAAGACCACAUUGUUUUCCCUUGGUAUUUUUAUCAAGUUGUUGCUGUUCACUCAUUUUAGUUGCUUCUGACUCUUUAUGACCCCAUUUGGGAUCUUCUUGGCAAAGAUCCUGGAAUGGUUUGCCAUUUGCUUCUCCAGCUUAUUUUACAUGUGAGGAAACUGAGGAAAAUAGUGUUCAGUGACUUGCUCAGGAUUGAAGAGCUGGUAAGUGUUGGAGGCCAGAUUUGAAUUCAGGAAGACAGAUCAUCUUGACUCCAAACCUGGAACUCUAUCCACUUACACCACCUAACUGUUGUAUUUUUCCUUUGUUAUUUUUAUAAAUAAGUACCUAUGUACUAUUCUUUUCUGCUUAAAUCUAAGUUGAAGAUGGGUAGGUAGAAAAGAGAUAGUGUAAAUGAAAUUAAAUGAACAUUAAAAUGGAAGCCAAGACCAGAGCUGUUCCUACACCUUCUUUCUCUCGGAGGGCCAAUUUCUUUCUUUAUAAAAUAAGAGUGUUAAAAUAAAAGAUCCCAAAGUUUCUUCCACCUCUAAAAUUCUACACAUAUCUGAAGUCCUAGAUAAUCCACUCAAUGAUUUUUCUGUAUUUCCUUUAAAAAUCCAUGUACAUCUUGAAUUUCCACUGAAUGGUCUGUCAGUGAAAUUUAUGUUCAGAAAGAAAUGUCACAUUUCUUUAACAAAAUCUCCCCAUUCAAGUUACAAUUAUAAAAUAUAUGCUAUAAUUACAUAUUUUGUAAUAUGGAAUACAGAAUUUUGCCCUUAUUUCCAAUUUAAUCAUGUCAAUUCUUGGAAUUCAAAGAAGAAGAAUGUUCUCAUACUUUCAGAUCUUUCAUCAUUUUACAACUCAAAGAAUUCAAAAUAAUAUAGGCAAAUUGGAUGAAUGGCCCAAUUAAAUUGGAUGAAAGUCAAUAAAGACAAACACAAAGCAUUGCCUUGGCAAGUAAUAAACCCAUAAAUACAAAAGAAAAAAGACAAAUGGUUUUAUUUUAUUUUAUUUAGUAUAAAAGAAAAAGAACUAGAGGGUUUAGGUUAGUGAAAGCUGAACAAGCAGUAGCAGUAAAGUGCCGAUGAGAAUAUUCACUAUUUUAUGGAAUGUCCACAAUAAUGUCAUGUAACAGAUUUACCCUUUGUGUGUCAUUGAAAAAAGUGCUAUAUUUAGCCCUGAGGAUGAUGUGAUCUCAGAGGAUAAAGAAGAGAGUCCCAGAAUAAAAAGAAAUUAGGUCAUUAUGAAAAAAUGACUGACCAACAGCUUAGUGCUUGCCAUAUAAUAGGUGCUUAUUAAAGACUUGUUGAUUUAUUCAUUAAGUCAGUUCAUUAAUGAACAUUUAUUAAUUGCCUAUAAAUUGCCAAGCACUGGAGUUACCAAGAAAGCUUAAAAAGUAGCAGGGAUGGGACCAGCUAGGUGGUUCAGUGGAUAGAGUGCUGGACCUGGAGUCAGGAGGACCCAUCUUUCUGAGUUCAAAUCUGGCCUUAGAUACUUACUAUCUGUGGGACCCUGGAGAAAUUGUUUAACUCAGGUUGCCUCAGUUUUCUUAUCUAUUAAAUGAGCUAGAGAAGGAAAUGGCAAACCACUCCAGGAUUUUUACUACGAAAAUUCCAGAUGAAGUCACAAAGAGUUAAACAUGACCAAACAGCAUAGAAACAUGUUUUCCAGUCAAAAUGGUCUAUUCUUGGAUCUAUCAUAUGUAUUUUUUAAACUAUACCUUUGCUUCUUCCUUUCAUUCAUUCUCUAGAACACUUCUCCAUGAAUCCUUCAAACUCAAUUCCAGCCUCCUCCAUGAAACCACAAGGAUCUCUUUUUUCCUAAAUUUAUUACAGUCAUCAUUUGUAUAAUUCAUUUGGCAUUUAAUCUCAUUCUGCCUUAUGAUAGCUUAUAUUGUUAUAUGAUGCAUAUUUGUAUUUAAUACCUUCAUCAACUCCUUAACCAUAUUAACUUCCUGAGUUCAGGAGCUGUGUUACAUUUUCUUCAUAUCUUGCAAUGCCUGGCAGCAUGCUAUAGAUAUAGCAGGUGCUUAAUAAGUGUUUGUUGUACAAGGGAAAUUGUAUUUCCUUUCUCAUAAGCAUGUAUUACAUUAUUAAACUUAUGCUACUUGGCAGAAUGAAUACUCACUAAUUUUCUCAGAUUCUAUGCCACAUGACAAGUAAGUUAUCCAAGAAAACAAAACCCAUUUUCUUAAAGGAAUGCUUCCUUUAAAUGCAUAAACAAUUGUCCAGUUCUCUUCUCAUGACUUAUUUUGUUGUCAGAAGGAAGAUGCAGAACCAUUUCAUGAUUCUCUGUACUUUCACUAAUGAAUGAAAGCAUAUAAUGACUAUCCCAUAGCCAAUGAUAUUCCAUUGUUUCAAAUACUAAUCCUUAGUGGUAUUUGUAAUACAUUCUUAAAAAUACCAUAGUGAUGGGGCAGCUGCCACACCUAGAGAUGAAAGUUCCUGAGUUCAAAUCUGGUCUCAGACCCUUCCUAGCUAUGUGACCCUGGGAGAGUCACUUAACCCCAAUUGCCUAGCCCUUACUGCUCUUCUACUUUGGAACCAGGAGUUAGUAUUGAUUCUAAGACAGAAGGUAAAGGUUUGUUUGGUUUGUUUUUUUUUUUUAAGCCACCAUGAUGAAUCAACAGGAAAAAAAAAGUUGUUUUCAGGAAAAGACUGUCAAUUAUUUGAUAUACUUGUAGGUUCAAAUUCUGUCAUCUCUUAUUAAUUUACUGCAGGACAUCAGACAAUUGUUUUAACCCCUCUUCCCUGAUUCUGUAUGUGUGUAUGUGUGUGUGCAUGUGUAUUAAAGCAGCAAGGGGCACUGUUGCACAACUAUAUGAUCUUAUUUAUUGUGGAAAGCCAGGAUCUGGCAGGGCUAUGUUUACUCCAAAUAUUAUGUGCUCCAUUUAGCACCAGAGGUCAUUUAGUGAAGUGAAUGGUGAUGCUCAGAGAACUAGUGCAGUCUAGUCCCUAGUUCUGCCUUUUUAGGGAAUGAAAAUCUUGUUAGUCUAUAGAUAUCAUCUACCUGUGUUUAUCUAAUUAAUGUCUUUGGUUUAGUUCUACCUUUCAGAAAACUCUGCCCUCUUUCCUUCCCUGUUAUAUUUCAAUGGACUCCUAUCUCAUGAGAGUAAUGGAAUUAAGAAAUGUAAUCACAGCUCGAAUGUGUACAAUAGGCUCUUCUUAUUUACUUAGAAGCAGAAGGAAUGAAGUUCUAGGGACUAAAAGCAAUUACUCUUUGAUCUGUGUACUUCUCAAACCUAAGAAAAUGAAAACCAAUCCAUUGGUAUGCCCCAAAUCCAGGAGUUACAGAGAGAGUUUUGAAGCUUAGACUCAGACUAUCAACCAUCAAACACUAAUUGUCUGUUCACUGCUAGUGUUGCCAUAAAGUACUCUGAAGGUCAGAGAGACUCGUCUAGUAUCUCCUAUUUCUCCCCUUUAAAUUUCCUUCCUCCAAUCUCUGCAUAUCGGUUUUUGUGUGGUUCCAGCAUUGCUUGUGUAUGUAUUUUACUGAUCUAGGGAACUCUUGGGUGUGGCACUCCUUACCUGCUCUGCAACUUAGUUUUAGUUGCCUGGAGUCCUAAGAAGUUGUGACUUGACUAGGAUGAUAUACCCAAAUAUGUCAAAUGCAAAACUUGAACAUUGGUCAUCUGAUCCCAAAGCAGUUCUCCAUCUAGUAUGCCAUGCUAUCUCCCUUGCUGCCUCACUAUUGACAAUGGAAUUCUCAAAAGUUCUGAUGUUCUCAAAAUCUGGCCACAAAAAUUGAUUUUUGUUUGUCUAUAUCAAAUGGUUGUAAGGGGGAAACUACUUCUGAAAAUAAAAGAGUAAGCACAAAUAUAGCUCAUCAUUUUCCCAGGUCAUCAGCUAUAUAAAUGAAAUUGUGAUUUCCUGAAUGAUAAGGGUUACUCCAUAUACUUCCUUUGUGUUCCUCACAGAACCCAUCACAGUUCCAAAAACUUAUUGCUUCAAUAAACAAUAGCAGGCUUAUUAAAAGCUAAAUAAAUGAAUAAAAUAAAAUCUUAGAUCAAGAGUAGAAGUAGCAGUAUUUUUAUCAUUUAUUUACUCACCAGUCAUUACCUUGGUAGCUUUAUACUGGGAAAAAAAGAAGCUGAAAGAACUCUUCUGCAGUAGAAAGGGAAUUGUAUGACCUUGAUGAGGUCACUCAUCCUCCAUGGGCCUCAAUUUCCUUAUCUGUAAAAUGGAUUGGACUAUAUUGACUCUGAGGUCACUUCCAGCUCUAGCACAAUAAUUCAACAUUACUUAACUACAAAGAAUAGGAAAUGGAUAAGAGAGAAAGGAACAAGAGAAUUAGAGCCAGCAUUUUCACAAAUGUGAUAGAGUAGGAGAAAUGGAUCUUAGUAAUUCACAACUACAGUUGAACUUGUGUAUGCCUUGUUGAACUGAACCUCUAAACCUCUUUCACCCAUCAUUAAUUAUGACUUCAGAUGAGGAAAAGCAAUAUGAGCUGAUGAACCCUUUAAAGAGCAAAGAAUUCAUUUUCAUGCAAAUAGCCCUGGUAAUAAAAAUCAGAAGAUAAAAGUGGGAAAAAUAAAAUGAGGUAGGAUGUGUUCCAGAGAAAGGUACUAUAAUGUAGGGUGUUACUUAGAAUUGAAUAGUUGGCAGCAAUAGCUUCUUAAGUUGAUGUUUUAAACUUUAAAAAAAAUUUUAAUGCACUGAGGAAUAGGCAGAAUAUAACCCUGAAUUUCAUUGCCUCUGUAGAAUCUCAGGUCUUUAAAAUGAUUUAAAUAUGCAAUUUUGUAUUAAACUUAUUGGGAAACAAACUUACAAACUUAAAUGGUAUACGGAUACCAUCAGCCAUAUCAUUAAGAUGGUAGCAGCCUUGCUAUUAGGGAGCUGUAAACUAUCAGCCUUUUACUUCAUUACUAUUUUCAAGCUGAAAGUCCUUUUCCUCUUCUCUUUAAGUUACAUCAAUGCAUUUUAGGGCCAAGGAUAAGCAUUUCAUAUUAUUAUCUGUGUUUCUGUGGCAUAUAGUAGGUGUGACUCAUGACACCAAAUCUUGAUGCUUUACUAUUGCUCUCCAGUAUUGCUCAAUUGCAGGAAAUUUCUGCAUUCUAAAAAAUGUAAGUUUUCCUCCAAAACCAACUGAAAUUCCUUAAGUUUGAUUAUUUAAAUUUGAAGAAGGAAAACUCUGAGGCAGCAUUGUGAAUUUUCCCUCUGAAAAAGCGAGAUUUCAUUUUAUCAGUUGUAAUGGAUGAACUAGGUAGGCACUGGUUGGUUAUAUUAAUGGACCAUGGAAAAUCCAAUGAUAUCUCAGAUUUGUCACCUUUUCUUUUUGCCUCGGCACAUUUUUGGAAAGCACUGAAAUUAGAGGAUGACAAAUGAAUUUAGGGCUGGCAAAUAGGGAAGGAUUCCAUAAGGUCAGAUUAAAAGACCCAAACUGGGAGGGGAAAAAAAUCAUUUUAUUUAGCUCCUAAGACCUACAAAGCAUAGGAAAUCCUGAAUUUCUAAGCAGAAUGUGUUCCAAAAGUUCAUUUGUAAUGCCACUUGUUUGGGACUUGGAACAUAUUUUGCAUAUAGAUACUGUUACAAAUGGUGCUACAUUUUCCAGGCUAAUGUAGAAAAGCCAAAUAGGUGUAGCUGAAAUAUGGUGGCCUCUCAUUCCCUCGCUCUCCAGGAUUCAGGCAAUCUUCUCUAUCACCAUGGCCAGACCUGGUAUUUAUCAGAACUCAAAAGUCAAGGAAUAAAGCAGCUAUGUGACUCAGUGGGUUUGAGAGUCAGACAUAGAGUCAAGAAGGUCUGGAUUCAAAUAUGGCCAUAGAUACUUCCUAGUUGUGUGAUCCUGGACAAGUCACUUAACCCCAAUUGCCUCACCCUUAUAGUUCUUCUGCCUUAGAACCAGUGCUUAGUAUCAAUUCCAAGACAGAAGGAAUGAAUUUUUAAAAAAUCAAGUGUUUCUGUGUGUGCACAUGUGGGUGUGGACUCUAAAAUCAGAAGACUAUGGUUCAAUCCUUGGUUCUUUCACUAAGUAGCUUUUGAGAAGUUAAACAAGUAUCCCAGUAAUCUCAUAGAGUUAGACCCUCAGUUUUGUCAUUCACAAAAUGAUGAUAAUACCAUUUGUACUAUUUACCUUAAAUUGUUUUUAUUUUUUUAUUUUUAAAUUUUUAAUUAUAAUUUUAAAUUUUAAUUUUUUUUUAAUUUUAAAUUAUAAAUUUUAAAUUAUAAAUUGUAAAGUUGCUGUAUAAAUUGGGUAUCAGUAAAUAACUCUCUAAGGUCUGCAAAGUGCUCAACAUUUUAUUUCAUUUGAUCCUGGCGGGUAUACAAGGCAGGCUCUAUUUUUAUCCCUGGCUUUUUUUUCAGAUAAAGUUAUUGAGGCUAUGAGAGGUUAAAUGAUUUGCCUGGAGUCCCAAGGUUAAGUAAGUGACUGAAGCAGGAUUUGAACUCUUGGGUCUUCCUUACUGAAAGUCCAGCACUCUAUCCACUUAACUUAGCAACAACUUACCAACAUCUGUAUAAAUAAAAUAUUUUAUAUUAUAAAUAUCAAUAAGGAUUCGUUAUUCCAUUGGUGUGGGUAUGGGUUCCAGAAAUAUGAAUUUUAACCUCCUUUUGCUUUGAGAAAUAUUCUUUGUGAGUUUCUGUGGAUGGAAAGAUUUUAUCAACCAGUAGACAAAUUUCUGGUGACCAGAUUCCCCUAACUUAACCAGACUGCAACUAUGGUAACCACUACAGAAGACUGUGCCAUCUGGUCUGUAAGUUAUGCCAGAGCUUGCACUGCAGUGGCAUAGCCUUUAACAAUACAGGGUCACCCCUAAAGCAAGAUGAGAAGUAUUCUCCACAUAGGGCAUUUAUUUAAAAAAAAAACACCUCUCAUUUUCAUUCUUUAUUCUUUGUUGCUGAUAAUAUGAAGAAUCUCCCAAAUCUCAAGUGCCCCAGUGUCCAGAAUUCCUUGAUUUAACAUAAAAUAUGAUAUCUUUUAGAAAAAUGUCAGAAACUUCCCCCACAUCCUAUGAGAUAUCUAGGGAAUCCGUAUAAGAGUUUGUCACACCAAGUUAUGCUUCUGUGAUUCUCAUCCUCAUAUACAUGCUUUUUUUGGUAGAAAAUAGUGCUCCAUCACAUUUAAGGAUAUAAAUUCCUUGAUAAUGCUCUGGAAUUAUUUUUUUCAUUUCUUCAUAGCUGCCAUAGAUCCCCAUGGAUGAUUCACAAAUAUUAAUAAUAUUUCCAAAAGUAAGCAUGCCUUGGACUUAGGGUGAUAUUCAUGAUACUUGCUUAAGACUGGAAUUCCUUUAAGUAUGUACUGACAUAAUACUCAGGGAAAGUUUAUUUUAAAAUGAAUUGGGGCUGGACACCACUUGAACAUUAAGCUCUGCUUUACAGCUGCUAGCAUAUUAUAGAGAGUCAAUAAAUAUUUACUGACAGGAAACCCCUUGGAGUAUAUAAACUGUGUGCUCAGCUUUGGUUCUUGAAUGACUAUCUCUUCUUUUCUCCAGUGAAUGCCAAAUUUAGCACAAGAAACAGUAACAAUGAACAAAAUUUUCUGAAUCAAUGAACUCUACUUUAGAAGUUUAUUGGACACUUUGACAAGUUACAUCAAUACUUUUAGGUGAGGAAUUGUGGUGUUUAGUAGAAAAAACUCUGAAUUUAGAAUCAGUCAUUGGUCCAUUUACCUAGUCGGUUUUUUUACUUCCUGUGCCUUGAGCAAGUCAUGUAAUCCAUCUUAAUUGUCCUCAUCUACAGAAUGAAGGACUUAGCCAUUUGGAAUUAUACUAAAUUAUUUAAAAUAUGUAUUCCCUAUGUCCUAGAAGUCUCACCUAUAACCAUACACCCUGAGAAAGUCAAACACAGAAAGAAAUAUUCAUAGCAUGACUUUUAUGACUUCCAGACAACUGGAAACAUAAAAGUUUCCUACUAAUUAUAUUAAAUUCUAUUAAUGUAACUGAAAAUUACUAUUCCUUAAAAAAGGAAUGCAUAAGAAAAGUUCAGAAAAGCAUGAGAAGAUAUAAAAAUGAUGCAGAGUGAUGUAAACAGGACCAGAAAAAAAUAAUGUGCAGAGACUGCUAGGCAGCACAGAGGAUAGAUCACCAGACCUGGAGUGAGAAGGAUCCAUGUUCAAAUAUAGUCUAAGAUAUUUCCUAGCUGUGUGACCCCGUGUAAGUCACCUAACCCCAUUUGUCUAGCCUUUGCCCUUCUAUCUUAGUCUUGACAGGAGAGAUAAAAGUGUGCACAAAAACACUUGUGCGUGAAGGAGAUUUAAGUGGAAAAGUCAAUGCACAGAGACAGUCCCACUCUCUCUCGGCAUUGGAAGCCUGGGUCCAGUGGCAUAAAAAGUCGUUACACCUGGAGACGAGAUGAGAAAAUAGACCCCCUUUCCUUCUUAGUGGAUAUAGAGUAGUCUAUGGAAACAUAUGCUGUAAUAUUUGGAUGAUGUAUUGGUUAGUUUUUUUUUAACUUUUUAAAUAAAUGAAGAUGAUAUAGAAACAAAAUAAAAUUUACUAGACAAUUGAAACAGAAAAUCUUUAUAUUCCCUUCUAGCUAUAAAUUAUAUAUUUCUAUGUAAAAAAAGUGAGGGGAAACAUUUUUAAUAGUCAGUAAUACUUGAGUUUUAAGUUUUGCCUCUAAUAUAUAAUGGCUGUAUAUGAACAAGUCACUUCAGAUUCCAAUUUAACUAUAUUUCCCAUAUUAUUUAAGCAAAUGGUCUAUUUUGGACAUAGCUCUAGGCAUUGGAAUUCCAUGUUUUUCCUUGAUAAGACUAUAUACUUCCAUAUUCUUUCUUAGCUUUCCAUGCUUCCUACACUCACCUAAUAAUAGUCAAUAAUACUCAUAUCUCCACUACUACAAUUUCUUUUUGCUCCGAUCUUUUUCAGUUAGAUAGAAAGAGGCUCUUACACCAGACCCAUGACUGUCUCUUCACUAUUCACUUUCUUCAUUCUUGCAAAACUAUCUUUUUCAUCUACUUAGUAAAUUGUGAUACUCCCCUAAAGACCUCUCUUCAGGUUGCAAUAAAGAUUUGCCUUGAGUCUCAAAAAAGAACUUAUUAAAUACUCUUGUAUACUAUAGAAGUAAUGGUUUGAAAAAAAAAACUUUAUUACUGUUCACAAAGUUUUGGUUUGCAAUAAACUUAGGAAAGAAAAAAAAUGCUCUGACCAAUUUAAUAAUCAGGAAACUGUGGUGAUGAUUUAACUAUGAAUACUUUAAAUAUAUCUCUUCCAAGUCUGUAACUACAGUCUAGAUGACAGAGUUCUUCAUUCUGCAUCCUUUCUGUACCACAAAGUAUCUUGUCAAGUGUAUUUCAAAUCCAGGGUAUUUAAUUUAACUCAGUUCCCUCAAUUAUAUUUAUAUUGCUCUUCAUGCAGAGUUUCACAAUCAUGAUUUAAAAUAAUAGGGGUGGUGACCUAUGUAGAAUAAUUAUUCUUUCCUUUUCUUAUAUUCUAUUUGCUAAAAUUUCAUAGAGUAGAUAUUUCUUCCAUUUUCUGAAAAUUAGUUAAAUAUCAUCUUUUUAAUUAGCAUAUAUUGUGUGUUCCUGGACAUUUUAAUAAUUAAGUUAAACAUAGGAAAGUUAGCCAUUAUAUAAAUUAAGUUCAAUCAUUCCUUUGCCCCCUAUUUCACAGUAUUCAUUCUGAUUCCCCAAUCUCAAUUUAGAAUUAUAGAAUUGGAGGUAAUUAUACCUGGAUACCCUAUUUGAUUGUCUCAUUGAAAAAACUCAAGAAACCAGAACCUGCUCUUCUAGAUGCAAGAAAGUUGAACAGCAUUCCUCCCUCUUCCCUUUUCCCUCUCUUUGAAAAAUUUUUUAAUCCAACAUUCAUUCAUUAUUUUAAAAACCUAAAAAGUAUAUGGAUGAAUUUUUCCCUUUAACACACAUAUAUAUAUAAAUAUAUAUAUAUGUGCAUAUAUAUAUAUUAAGCUAAACAUUGUGUAAUGGAAGAACAUAGAAGCAUUCUCACCAAAUAUAGGUGCAAAAUAAAUUAUGACAAUUGUAGUAGAACCAGAGAGAUGUAGUAUAGAAAUCCAGAGAUUAAAAUGUCAUCAUUUGUGCAUUACUUGAUAGUUUUCCUAGAAAAUGCCUUUAUCUUUAGCAGAAAAUUAGUUGAAACAAUAAAUGGAUUCAAGUGGUGUCACAGUAAUCCACAAAAAAAAAAAAAAUCUCACCCAAAACAAUUGACUAGGAAUAAAGUUGAAAAAAAAAAAGAUGACUAAAGAUAUGUAUUUAUAAAAUCAAAAAAGCAAUCAUAUUUGAAAAUUAACUUAUCUAUAAUAACAUACAACCUUUGCCAAAGUAACAAUCCUAAAGCAUGGUGUAUUUUUCAUUAGAUUAAAUUUUUUUUCAAUCAAUGUUCUUCUUAUAAUUUCAUAUGCCUGCACUAAUUGAGAAAGGAAAAUAAACAAAGCCCUUCAUACAAAUAUGUAGUAAAUCAAAACAAAUUUCCUCAUUCGCCAUGACAAAAAAAAAAUCUAAAUUUGCAUUUUGAUUCCAUCAGUUCUCUUUUAGGAGAUUGAAAUCAUGUUUCAUCCUAAGUCCUUUAAAAUCAUGGCUGAUCAUUGCAUUUAUCCACAUUCUAGAAUCUUCCAUAGUUGUUUAUCUUUAAGAUAAUGUUUUUAUUGUAUAAAUUAUUAUCCUGGAUCUCCUCACUUCACUGCAUCUGUUCAUAGACAAACUUUCUGGUUUUUUCUGCAUUGUCCCUUUCAUCAUUUUUAAUAGUAUUCCAUCAUGUUCAUAUACCAUAACUUGAUCAAUCAACCAACUGAUGGAUAACUACUCAGUUUCCAAGUCUUUGAAUUGAGCUGAAAAGAGCUACUAUAAAUAGUUUUGUACAUAUAAGUCUUUUCCCCUCUUGUUUAAUCUUUUUAGAGAUGUGAUGUUCACCUAAUCUUGUUUAUUUCCCUUUCCCUUUUAACUUGCUCCUGCUAGUAAGAAAGAAUUCAUGAUGGGUAAAAUAUAUCUGGUAAAUUUUCCAUGGUAUAACUUCAAUGUAUAUAUAUAUAUAUAUAUAUAUAUAUAUAUAUAUAUAUAUAUAUAUAUAUACAUGUACAUGUGUAAUUUCUAUAUCUCAAAAGCAUCUAUAUGGUCCUAAAGGUUUUCUGAUUGUAUUAUCUAUCAUAUUCCUGCCUCAGCCACUUAACCCAACAUUUGUCUCUCUGGCUCACAUUUAAAUCUUAUUCCCAACCUAAGCUCUAACUUAAAUAAUUGAUAUCUAUUUACCUCUUCAUUCUUCCUAAAUAUUAAUUUUCAAUUUAUAGCCUACCAGUUCUGAUCCUUCGUCUUAAACAAUGAACCUCUACUCUUUUCCUAAGAUUUAACCUUAAGUUAACUCUGUAUGCAAUACAAUCCACCUAUGCCAUAGAGCUGGUGCUUGGAAGCAGCAGGAGAAGAAGUCAAGAGAACAAGGACCAAGGCAAACAGAGGCAUAAUUAGGUUAAAGCAGAGUUAGAGGUUAAAAGGGUCCCUUGGAUUAAGUAGAAGCAAUACUGUAAAUUUGUGUAACUACUAAAAGAAAGUGGUUUACAAAUGUGAGGACAGAUUUAGAGGCAAGACCUUCACAGGUAUUUAUCCUGUAGAUUUGUUUCUUUCAAUAUAGAUCCAUCUUUAUCCCUAUCCCCUUCAUGCUUUCUGUUGGAGCUCUCAGUCUAUUCCUCAGAUGAGGUGGGUCAUGUUUCUUGGUCUAAUUUGGACUCCAAAAAGAUAUUUGUCUUAAGGGCAGCUAGGUGGCUCAGUAGAUUGAGAGCCAGGUCAAGAGAUGAGAGGUCCUGGAUUAAAAUCUGUCCUCAGACACUUUCUAGCUUUGGGACCCUGGGCAAGUCCCUUAACCCCAUUGCCUAGCCCUUACUGCUCUUCUUAAGUAAUUAAUUAGCAACAUUUAUACUAAGACAGAAGAUAAGGAUUUUUAAAAAAGAACAAAAGACAUCUGUCUUCAGGAGUUCUAGAAGUAUGGUUAGGAACAUUCAUGUGAAUGAGGGUAGCCAAGUAAAUUAAUUUGGUUCUAUAUCAUCAAGAGAGUAGUUUGGCACUGGGAAGAGGACUAAGUUGGAAAUCAGGAAAUUUCAUUUCUACUUAUUGCUCUGUCAAUUAGCUUGUAUUUUAGGACCAACCCUGCAGAGUUGAGAUUUGAAAGGAAAGAGAGCUUCUCUCCCACAGAACUAAAUAGACUUUAUUCCAUCUGAAAAUUCCCAUCUUGGACAAGCAUCUUAACUUCACUGGACCUCAGUUUCUUGAACUAUAAAUGAAAGUUUUGGACUACAUGAGCUUGAAGAUUCCUUCCAAUUUAAGAGUUUUAUGAGCCUCAAAAAUCCUGUGAAAUAGGUUUUCAAAUGAAAAAUAUAAGUAGCCAUGAAGCAUUUUUGCUUUAUUAUAUUAGAGGUCAAUUGGUCAAUUUAACCAGUUUGGGGUAAAUUCAGUUUUUUAAAACAGAAAUUAAGGGAACAGAUGGGUAGCUCAGUGGAUUGAGAGUCAGGCCUAGAGACAGGAGGUCCUUAGUUCAAAUCUGGCCUCAGACACUUCCCAGCUGUAUGACCCUGGGCAAGUCACUUAACCCCCAUUGCCUAGCUCUUACCACUCUUCUGCCUUGGAGCCAAUACACAGUAUUGACUCCAAGAUGGAAGGUAAGGGUUUUAUAAAAGAAAAAGAAAGAAAGAAAAGAAAAGAAAAUAGAAGUUAAUCAGACUGACAACUUCAAAACUAUCCCAUUUUGAAACCUAAAAACACCAAAAAGAUUUUUAAAUUGUUUACUUUUGUUGACUAGACACAACCUUCACUAAAGUCCUAUCACUUUGUUUCAUCAUGGCAUGGAAGAAAUGUGAGUUCUCAAGGAUUAUAUCAGUGUAAUACAACCUUUGGCAGUUUCUUACCAAAAUGGAAUGACUUUGGGUAGGAAUCAUAAGUGGAAAGAUUUGUGUUUGUGUGUGUGUCACGCAUCCCUGUGCACUACCUGGGGUCUAGCCUAACUAAAGUGGGAAAGACUCAAUACCAAAAGAUCAGAUACUGUGUGGAUUUAAUUUUUACCCAUAGUACCUACUAAUACAAAAAGAUGUUUAAAUCUGUACACAGAGAAUACUCACUAACAAAAUUAAAGAUUCUUGAAUAGUAUUUUCAUGAUUUUUCUACCUUUUCAUGAAGUUGAUUUCUAUUCUUCCAUUACAUUUCAUAAUAGAAUUUGAUCCCUAUAGAGAGAAAUUUAAUUUAAAUACUAAUACAUUUUUGUCAUACCUAAAAUAUGCAUAGUUAUUAGUUAUGAGUCUUUAUAUAAUUAAAUUAUACAUUUUCAUUUCUAUAGCAUUUAUGAAUUUCAAACUGACUAUGAGUAAUUCUAGGAAAUGUUAUAAAUAGUAUUUGAAUAUUCAUAUUUCUAAAGAUGAUUUCCAGCAGUACAUCUCUAGACCUCUUACCCAAGAUCCUUUUAAAGCAAAACAUGAACUUUAUGUUAUACACAAGGAGCAAGAUAAAUAAAUUCCAAGGUGGAUUUACCUCUGAGAGGAAAAGCAUCUAAAGCAAAGAGUUUCUAUUUUAAACCCAUAAAUCCUAUAUUGUACUGUCAAAAUAGAUAUUGUGAUUAAUUUUAAGUUGGCAGGAAUCAAAGAGCAACCUAUCUGUGGUAAAUAGAAAUUGUUCAAGUCUGCAUUAUGUUGAGAUUUUCAUUUUUGUUGCAUUCUUUUUUGGUCUUGCUUACUAAAAUACAAAGUUUUCACAAAGUUCCAGUUUUUCAAAGUGUGCAUGGCCAUGAAUAUAUGAUAUGUACCUGUCUUGAGACUAUAAUAAUCUUUGUAUCAUUUCAUUUAAAAGGGCUAAUUGAAUAAUUAUUUUCAGUAAAGAAAAUAUAUUUUUAUUACUGGUCAAUUCAUUGGAUUUUAAAUAUAACAUAACAUUGAAUGUGACAUUUUUAGAUCACAUGUGUGCAUUUAAACCUAUUGUUAAGUAUACUGAGUACAAUGUUCUAUUUUACUUGUAAAGAGUGUGAACAUUCUAGCACUCAUACAAAUAUAAAUACUCCCAAAAAAAGUGUUUAUCCCCAGAAUAGAGUUAAAUUAUUCUAAUUAAACUUUGCAGUGCUUUUGCCUGUGGGCCCCCCAAAAGCCAGUGCCUGACAGGAAGCUGAUGCAUAGCAUUCAGUGAUGCAUGAGGUCUAAUUCUUUAUUCUGCAUAGGGGAGAAGAGUAUCUCUGCAUUACCAUUUCUUUCCUACAACAUGUAAAAGGUUAUUGUGCUCAGUUCCUCUGCAUCUGCAUAGAGCUGACAUGGAAUCUGUCUUCUCUUCCUGCUUUUCUCUUUGACUAUUUAGUUUGUUUUAUUUUAGCCUACCCAAGUAAAGUAGAUUAGAAUCAACCCUUUAUCUCAACUGCAAUGAAAGAAUUAUUUUGUUAAUUGGCAUAUUGAUAUCCAGAGAACUGCUUACUAUGCCAAGUUAUUAAAAAUAAGUAGAUGAGGGGCAAAUUAAACUUUGAAUCACCUGUUCCUUUGGGCAAAAUACAUAAACCAAAUCGACUGCCACCAAAUGCCAUAUUAUUUACAUUGCGUAUACAAUUUAUUUGCUAAAAAUGUGCUUGACAAAAGAUUUGAAUUUGCUCUUGAGCAUAUAAUGGGUCCCACUUAAUAGUGGAGCUCACUUAUGUGCCCUUCACUCUAUAAUUAAAUCAUAUGGGAAAAUGUCACAAAGCAAAAUAAAAUGUAUUUAUUUCAGCCAUAUCUUCCCACAGCAUGACAUGUAGUCUGAAAAAAAUCACUAAGCAUUUUUAUACCAUCUGUGCUCAUAGGGGAUACAUUUACAAGGCAUGUCACUGUAAAAUAUUCCAUUUUGAAUUAAACAGGGCCUGAUUAUUGCUAUAAGCAUCUGAACAGUAUAAGUUCUAAGAUGGACAGACGUCAUUUAUUGCCUCAAUUUCAAACCAAAAUAUUUCUAUCCUAAUAUCUUUAGGAAGAUUACCACUGCCCAUGGAAAAAAAUAGGUAUACUUUAAAAAAAGUUAUUGGUACAGGCAUAUAUAAAUCCUUUGAAUAGUCAAAAAUUAAAUGUUGUGGUUCUUCUUAAUUAGAAAUUAUCACCUAAAACUAAAAGAAAAUAUUUAAUUUUCUCAUAAUCUUAACUGAAACUAGGAGAAAUCAGAAAAACUAAUUUCUCCCAACAUAGACUGUGUAAUCUAUGUAAGAAGACUUGUGUUACCUUAGAUAAUACCACUUUGUGAAUUUUUGUUGUGGUUGUUGCAGCAAUCUAUCUAAAAGGUCUAUAAAAUCAAAGAGGCUACUGUUUCAGCCAGUUUGUCAAGCAUAAAGUUACAUCUAUUCUAGGGAGUUUCUGAUUCCCCAGGAAAACAAACCUGAGGCUUGUCCUUUGUAACUGCUAGUGCUGAAAUUUAUGAAUAUUUACAGUCAUUUUUUAUUUCUCUGUAUUUAGAAGUGCCAUUUAAUAGUUUGUUUAUGAGAUGAAAAAUCCCACAAUUCUGAGUUAGAAAAAUAGCAGAGGAUUCCAGGUUUUAAAAUUUUAUGUUAAAAUCUGUCAUUGAUUUAUUAAGUGAUUCUGGUCCAUAUUUUCCUCUUAAGGUUGUUCAUAUUGAUCUCCCUCAACUGGUUUUGAGGAAUAUAUAACCAAUAAACAUGUAAAAUAUUUUAUAAACAGAAAAGGCUUUAUAGAAAUCCAACGAUACUCAGAAGUCCCAGAUCAAUUCCUUUAAGAUGCAAGUAUUUUUAUACCCUGGAGAAUUGAGGAAAAUAUGAUUUACUUAUAAAAUAAUGCCAUUUGUUCAUCAGAAUACUUAGCUCAUGAUUGUGCAACAAAUUUGCACUAGUCUGAAACUGAAAAAAAUAUGAAUGAAUCACAUUUCAAAAGAUCUCAGUUGUAUGGAUAGUCCUUCCUCUGUUACAGAUUAUUCCUAUCUCUAUCUGAGCAUAACAUCAUCAUGAUUUAUGAUUACAAAAUCUCACCCUAUUGUGACCAGCAAUCUGCUGAUAACCCUCUCCAAACCUAGAUGGGCUCAUCUGUCACUGGGUCUGCUGUACUCAAAGCCUUUCCGGUCUGGUAAAACCUGACAGACCUUCUGCUCCCUGGAUUAUAGCAUCUGAGAAAAGAUACCUCCACACCAUGAUGAGGCUUUGGAGGAGGACUUUUUUGGGAGAGCAUAAAUUGUGUAUUUAUCUAAUCCAGCAUCAGUUUCACUUAAGUGGAAUUAACUCGAUUUCAUUUAAAACUUCUGUAAACAAUAAAGUUGUUGAGAGAUUUACAUUAACAAAAUUCUCUAUAGUCAAUAUCAUUUUCUCCAAGAUGCCAUCUUGAUAACUCUUACCAAGUCCAUCUUUCUCUGCUCCUGACCACAUACAGUAUACUGAACACUAGAUUAUUACUUAUUUUGCUGCUUUAUAAUGUAUUUUGUCUGUUGAUUUUUGUUUCCUUAAUAGUCCUGUGAGUUCUGCCAAACUCCACCCUUCAAUACACAAGGCAGAUUUGCAGAUUUGCAGUUGCAAUUGCAGUUGCAGAUUUGCAACUUAGAGGGGGUUUUUAGUUUUUAAGGGUUACCUAGAGACAGGUCAAGUGCCUUCCUCACUCAAGUCACACACUUAAAAUGUGUUAGAAAUAAGAUCUGAACCCAGGUCAGUCUGACCCAGAAACCAGUUCUAUCUACUAUAUCAAACUUCCUCCUUUGGUGUCUUAUUUUUUUCUCUAUUUCAUUGUGUUUUUGUUUUGUCUCCUACAUGAUUGUCAAAUCUGUAAAUACAACAAUUCUGUCUUGUGCUGUUUUGGGUAUUCCUCACAGAAUUUAGCUAAAUAUUAAGCUUAUAGUUGAUGCUACCAACUAACUAUAUUAGUUGAAUUAUCCAACUGCAUUAUACUCUAACCAGCAUUUCUUUUUUUAAAAUGCUGAAAAUAGACUCUGUGGCAAUUAAUCUCCAGUGUAUUUUCCCACUGACACAUCUACAGUUUCUGAAGAAAGCAAAUCUUAUCAGCUCCAAGCAUUCCUGGAGUUGAACUUAGUCUGUCAAGAUAAAGAAGGAAAAUAUGAAGACCUCCCUUGCCUGGAAAACAAAUGAAUCCAUUUCAGAACUGUUUCUUUCAUUUCUGUGAGCUAAAUUCUCUAACCACCUAUAAUGAAUGUUUUUCAAAGAAAUUGAGAUACAGAAGAUACAGAGACAAAAGGGACAUAGGCCCUUCCUCCAGGAACUUUGUUAAUAACCCCCCCCUCUAGGUGUUCUACCUAAUCUUUCAACUAAGCAUAAUUAAAAAGCGCUAGGUUUGGAUACAUAGAAACAUGAAAAGUAUCUCAUUCAAUGAAAUCACAAAUCCAUUUCAUCCUUAUAUUCAUUCAUUCUAUUAGAUAGAUACAUAGACAAACAGACAGAAAGAUAGAUAGAUGGGCUGCUAGGUGGCAUAGUAGAUUCAGCUCUGGACCUGGAAUCAGGAAAACCUGAGUUCAAAUCCAGAGAUCUACUAUGUAAGGAAAUCACUUAAUCUCUCCCUCAGUUUCCUAAUAUGUAAAAAGGGAUAAUAAUACCUAUCUUGCAGGGUAGUUGAGGAUCAAAUGAGAUAAUAGUCAUGAAGAAUUUUGUAAACCUUAAAUGCUAUGUAAAUGUUGGCUGUGAUCAAGAUAUUAGUAGAUCGAUAAAAGCAUAUUUAUUAAGCUCUUAAUAUAUGUCAGGCAUUGUGCUAAGCAUUGGGGGGAGGGGGGAGAAACAAGUUUUUAUUAAGGGUCUAUUAUGUGCCAGGUAAGGUCUUCUUAAAAAGAUUAUCGAUCCUCACAACACUCAGCAAUUACUAACCCAUAUGGCUACUUUCUCUUCCCUAAUGGAUGAGAACAAUCUAGACAUACAUUCAAGGUACCUUUGAUGCACCCAGGAAUGAUGUAGAAGCAGAUCUUUUCAAAUAGGGUUAUUGUUUGUUUGUUUGUUUUAGCAGAACAUGUUUUUAUAACUAUACAACUGAGGUUGAAAUAUAUUGGUAAAGUUCUCUAAAUGCUCCUAUGUGCAAAUGACAUAAUAAUUGACCAGUCUUUAGAAUACUGCAACGCUUCAAUAAAAUCCACAGUAAAAAUAUAUAGAAUAAUUUUUAAUUAUCCACCUUAAAAAGAGUAGAUGAUUAAAAUCUGACCUCAAACACUCCCUAAAUUUGUGACUCUGGGCAAGUCAUGUAACCCCAAAUGCUUGGCCCUGGCUUGGAACCAAUAUUUACUAUUAAUUCUAAAGACAGAAGGUAAAGGUUAAAAAAAAAAAAGAGUGGAUGAAAAAUGUUUAUUGUAUGACAUGAACCUAUGGAGUCAGUCUUUCAAGGGUUAUAUCUUGGAGAUGGAAAAUUAUCUAGGUCCAGAGUUAAGCGGGAGAAGAUUAUGCCAUAUUACAUUUGGGAGAAUAUGUAGUAUUUUCAUAGGAUCAUAGCUUUAGAGCUGAAAGGGAAUUUAGAGGCUAUCAAUUUCUAAUGCCACAUUUUACUCAUAAAAAAAACACUUGAGUCUCAAAGAUUAAGUGAUGAGCCCAGCUUAGAACUCUGCUCUUCCUGAUUCUAAUCCCCCCUCCAUUAUGCCACACUGUAGUUUCAAAGAUCCCAAUAUACUCACUGAUGCAAAAGCCUAUAUCCUUAAUAGCAGCAUACAUAUUUAUCAUCCAUCCUUAAGUAACACAAUAGAAAUUGCAAAUAAUCCUGAAUGCAAUGGACAAAAAAAACAACCAGACCUAAACAUGAGGCAUCCUCCCGUGCUACUACUAUGUCUACCUCUCUGAGUUCUGAGAGGCAGAGGUGGCUUUUUCUCUAUUGCUGUCCCCUGGAUCCCUAACCAACUGUAUUCUCUGGUGGUUAGGGGUCUGUGACAAGCACCAAUUUCACCUUUAAAUAUCAAUUAUCUUUUACAAAGACAUAUUUACUUCAAGAAUAUUGAGGACAAAAUAACCCUCAAUGUCAUAUGAGGGAUAAUCUCUCCUCCAUACCACCUCAGUAUCUGAGGAGGCAUUAGGCUUGUGACUCAGCUCAGUUCCAACAAAGCAUUGGUCCCACCAAGUUCAUUUGUAGAUACUAUCAGGUAAGUAAUUCCACUGGGCUAUGCUCAUUCUCAAAGAUCAUUUCUUGACUUUGAUCCUUUGAUAUGAAUAGCAUCCUUAGCCUAGAGCCCAGCCUUUGGAAUCCCAGGGUUCUUUUUUGUUCUUUCAUAUUGCCCACCAUACUUUUUCCCUUCUUCACUCCAGCAACCAAAAUCCUACCUAUACUUCAAGGUCACAUUGGAAUUAUGUCAUAUUUGUAUUUCUUUUCUCUAUAAUCUCAUAGUACUUCCUAUAGAUACCUCUCAUCUGCUGCUUUCCACGUACUGGCUUAGAAUGCCUACCAUACUUCUGUGCACAUAUACCACUGAUGUGUUGCUGCUUGAGUUCCAUCAAUAGGAGGACUUUUUGAGCCUUCAUUGACCCUCGAGGGUCAUGUGCCUGCAGUUCGCCUAUAUUGUCACUAGAUGGUGAUUUUGCUUCCUUAAUAACAAAAUUGAAAUCUAAUGUUCCCUUCUUGUUUCCAUUGCCUACCCCACUCCUCCUCACGCUGUGACUCAGACUUGGAUGCUUUUAAGACAUUUAAUUUAAGGUACCUUAGCUUUAACAGUGUUAUAAUCAUCCCAGACUAGAUUCCUUUACAUUUAGUUGUCUUCUUAGUCCUGACUCUUUAAAUUCACAGAAAUUGUCAGAAACUUUUUCAGAUUUGUUUCUCAUAAUUAAAACAUAGGUAAGCUUAUAAACAGAGUCUGAUUGUUUAAACUGUAUAGUUUGACAAUUUAUUAUACAUUUUGGGGCCUAUAAUUCAAUCUAUUUUGUAAAUAAAAAAGAUAGAACAUUUACAUGUCUAAUAUUUAUGUAACUAGUUAGUUAUAGAAUCUAGUACUUUUUUUUCACAGUUCCACUUUUUUCUUGUUUCCUUACCUAGACUAUAAGCUUCUUAAGGGUUGGGGCCAUAUCUUUCUCAUCUUUAUAUUCCCUACUAGACUUAACAGUCACUACUAUAAUGUUUUGCUUAUGUAGGCUGCUCCCUUCCCAUAAAUGUUAAGUGAUUUGCUUUCUUGAGACCUAAUUUAAUACUCCAUCCUUGGGAAGGCUUUACUCCUUAUUCUUACCAUAACAUUACUUCUAGGGCUAGUUUCCAACUCAUGCUUGUAUCAAAAAUUUGAAUUUUUCAGGAAAAUUCGAAGGUGUUCUAUAACCUAGUAGUAUUUUAGUAGCCAGCAGAUACAAUUAUCUCAAGGCAAGAGUGUUUACAGAGAUGGUAGUAGCAGUAGUAGUAGUAGUAGUAGUAGUAGUAGUAGUAGUAGUAGUAGCAGCAGCAGCAGCAGCAAGAAUUUAAGGUUUGCAAAAUAACUUUACAAAUAUUAUCUCAUUGUUUCUCAUGACAACUCUAGGAGGUAUGUUAUCAUUAUCCCUAUUUUACAGAUGAGGAAACUGAGGCAGUCUUGCAAAAUAUUAGGUGACUUGCCUAGAGUCAGUAAAUAUAAAGCAAUCUUUGAACUCAGGUCUUUCCAACUUCAGGUCUAAUACACAUAUCCAUUGUGCCACCUAGCUGCCAAAUUGGAAUUACUACAACUAUUAAGUAUAAAACAUUCUGUCCAAUAAACAUAUAACAAGAAUGGGAAAAGUAGGCACAUACAUAGAGUACACUAGUCCUGACACACUUCACAUUGUCCUAGAGCCUUUCGUAUCUUUUCUCUUGUGAUGGACUUACACUGUUUGUUCACCCUGGUUGAUACAUCUCAGCUUGAGUAGAUCACACAGGUAGACUCUGGAUCCACUCCCUUUGCAAUCAGACUCAUGAAUUGAUCUUCUUUUGAAUCCACAAAUGGCUCUCUUCUCUGCAUCCAAGAAUCACUGUCCUCCGAGCUUCCUCUCACUGGCAUUUUUUUGAGCCCAUUCCUAGUGGGAAUGUGAAUUACUUUCUUGCAAGAUAUUGUGUCUGAUGUAGGUAGAUGGGAGAGGUUAGAGGAAAAAAAUGGACUCCCCAAGCCCUGGCUGCCUUCUGGAAGGGGAAAAGAUAAAAUGAAGUCAUUUCUUCACCCAGAGCUCUCUCCCCCCAAAGAACCAGAGGUCAUACUUUUUGAAGUAAUUCCUGACUCAACUGUUUCCCAGAACUACUGUUUUUUCCCUAGCAUUGUAGAGACCAUAGGAGCACUCUGGAUAGCUACCUGUUGUCCUUCCUUCACCCAUGCUACAUGAGACUGUAUAAAGAUGGGCUAGGUGUACCAGUCCACCUGGACAUACCUGGACAACACUUUCUGCAUUUUGUGCAUGUCUAUGCAUGUGGCCAGUCCAUCUUCUUUUAUUAGCACACAUUUUCCUGAUGACAUCUUCUAUUGUUAUUUUUUUCAAUGUUCCUCAUUGUUCGUGACUGAAAGCUUACUCACGCUCUCAAAGCACAUCUCAUUCUCUGUGGAAGAUAUAUUUGCAGUCCUUCUUUUCCUCUCAUUUAUAUAAUCUCCUUAGUCAUGUCUUUAUAUAUUUCCAAUCCUUCUUCCCCUUCCUUUUUAUAUAAUCUCCUUAGUCUUCUUAUGUGGCCCUUUCUAGUUACCCCCUCCCUCUUCUUAUCUACCCUGCCUCAUUCAUAAGAUCAUAUUUAUAGGGAUUCUGAUUUAAAGUUCAAAGGGACUAGAGAUUUUCUGUUCUGAUGCUUUCAUUUUAUAGGCAGGUUGUGACCUGACCAAGGUAAUAUAGAAAAUAAGGAAAAGAGGUAGGAUUUGAAUUCAAGUCAUCUUGACUGAAGUCAGUGGUCUUUACUUUCUUGCCAGAAUUAUAUCUUGAUUUUGAUUGUAAGCUCCUUUAGGUCAGGGACUUUUUGCCUCUUUUUGUAUUCCUAGCUCUUAGUGCCUGGAACAUAGUAGGUGUUUAAUAAAUGUUGACUAAUUGAUUUAAAGGAUUCCUACAUAAGUGACAAGAGGCAACCAGAGGCUCUAUAUUUUACUUUAUAUUAACCCCUUGAUUUCACUUGGUUGAGUGAGCAGGGAUAGCAGAGAGGUUCCACAAAAGUGGGAUUUCUAAUAAUAGCUAAUAGCUAGUAAUUCUCUAGCACCUAAGGUCUCUCAACAACUCAGUGAGGUGGAUUCUAUUAAUAUUAAUAAUUAAAUUAUAUUCAUAUAAAAUAAUUAUAUUAAUAAUAAUAAUAAAUCAAAUUUGAAUUCAGGUCUUUUUUACUCUAUCCACUAUGCCACCUAGCAUCCUAUUCUAUUUUUCUUCAACCUUGCUUGAAGUCUGACUAUACAACAAUGCUUCAACUAUAGUCCUAUAUAAGUCCUAAAUAAAUGCUAAGUGUUUUGAAGGCUAUUGUUUAUUUUUUUUAAACCUUUCCCUUAUGUCUUAGAAUCAAUACUGACUAUUGGUUCUAAGGCAGAAGAGCUGUAAGGGUUAGGCAAUGGGAGUAGGGACUUGACCAGCAUCACACAGCUAGGAAAUAUCUGUGAUUAGAUUUGAACCCAGGACCCAGGUCUCUAGGUCUGACUCUCAAUCUUUGGAGCUAACUAGCUGUUUCUUUUCAUAGAUCCAAAUGAUAGAUGACAUUUGUAGUUGGCAAAUGAUAGGAUUUAGUCAAAACUGUUCAUUGAACCCUACUGAAAGUUCCAAAAGAAGUAAAAGAUAGAGAGCUUACAAUAUAACAUGAGAGACCAAACGCAAAUCUAUAAGAUCAUCAUAUUUGAGGUGAAGAGAAUUUCAUCACAUAUUUUUGCUCCCUUUUAUAGAUAAAAAAAGACCAGAUAGAAAAUUGUCUUGUCCAAGGUAACAUAUAUAGUAAAAGCUGCCACAAACCUAGGUCUUUUGACUCAAUAUCGAUGAUUAUUUCUAUUGUAUCUCACUGGGAAAAAAAACUACAAUGGAAAUAAUAGAACAUAUGCAAGAGACAACAUGGUAUAUAUAGCAUAUAAAAAGCCAGCCUCACAAUUCAAGAGAACAUUUCUUCAAUCUCAUUUACUGGCUGUGUGACCCUGGGCUAGUCAUUUAAUUGGCUUUAGACACCAAAGCUUUAGCUGAAGAGACAAUUUUGACCUACAUUGAUAGAGGGAAUUUCCUCUCCCAGAAGUUCUCUAUGCCAGUCGAAUCAAAGUUCCAGGUCCUAUCCAUGAUCCAAAAUAAUUGCAGCCAUAUGCAAAGCCUCAGGAAUUCAUUCAAGAUCAAGAUUUUUAGAAAUAUAAAAACAAAAGAUGCAGACAGAGUUUCUUGUGAGCAGUGAAUAAACUUCAUCUUAUGAGCUGUGGACUACUGAGUCAUUAUCAAGAGAUGGAUGACACCUGCAAUGUGAAGUAGUGAAAGACAGAUAGAAAGAUUGAUAAGAACCAUUUUUCUUUUGUAACUUCUGUAAAGUGUUUUCUUUUCUAUAACAAUGCAGUUUUGAGAAUAAUUCAGUUAUGCAUCCCCCACUCUGAGCUGCCCACUGUAGAUUCCUCUGGAACUCUUAGGAUAAAGCAUUCUCUCUCCCUGGAAGAGAGGGCAGGAGUUGGUUUUUUUUUUGUUGUGAUGGUUGUUGUUUUUCCAUCCCAGGCCCUGAUUUAUUUUUAUACCAAAACAAAUAAGGAACCAUCCCACUGGCAUCCAUCACAAGGAAACAGGCACUCCUUGUCACCCUCGGUCUUCCUCCCAGCCAAGCCCCAGGGAACAUGCAGUUACAAAAUCUUCUUCCCCAAGAAGGAGAAACUCCUUUUUUUACAAUCCUCGGAAGUUCUUUAAUGUCUGCGAUUUAUCAAGUCCCAUUUGCUAUUUUGGAGCCCAGUUGCAUGACAUCCAGAACCCAGAGAAAGACAAAGGUGAUGUUUAAAUGAGUGCCUUCAACCCUGCACAUAGGGAGGGGUUUUUGUUCAUGUCUCUCAGAACUGUCAUCAGUAGAAACCACAUCUUUUCCACCAGAACUUAACUGCAAAGGUUACUGCAAAACAGGCAAGAUUACUUGUAUUUUCAUGAGUAACAGUUCUUUUUCCCUUUAGGUCUCUCUUAGUUGUCUGUAUAGCCUCUAGAAUAUCUUAGCACAAAGUCUAUUUGGCUUUGGGCCAGUGACUUGUGUAAAAAUUAUUGCACAUGCACAACAAUUAAAAAAGCUUAGGUCUCUAUCCCUCUUCUGUGUUUACAAAGCACUUUGCUCACAACCUCUUUCCUAGGUAGUAUUAUUAGCCUCCUUUUGUAGAAAAACUGAAGCUCAGAGUUUAAAGGACUUGCCCUGCUGGGUCAUUCAGGCAGUAAAUGUCAGAGCUAGGUCUCAAACUCAGGCCUUCUGAUGCCAUCAUACAAGAGUGUUCUUUCCAUUAUACUCUGUUGCUUCUCACUUGUGUUCAUAUAUAGUUGUUGAUGUAUAUUAUAUAGCUUUUGCAUGUAAAGCCUCUUAAAGAAAGCAAAAACUAUGUUCAUUAAUUAAUACUAUUUAAAAUUUUUCUCUACCUUCCUUAGAUCCUGAAACCAGAACCACAAAAAUACUAAUGUAGAGUCACAGAUUUAGAGUUGGAAUGGACCUUAGCGGCUGCUUAAUCCAGUGCUCUAAUUUUAUAGGUGAAUGAAUGAAUGAAUGAAUGAAUGAAUGAAUGCAAGAAAAGCCUGUAUUAAGUACUUCCUAUUUAGCAAGCAUUGUAUUAAAUGUUUGGAAUACAAAAUCAAAAGUAGGGAUAGUACCUACCUUCUAGGAGCUGACAUUUUAAUAGAAAGAGAUAACAAACAUAGUGGAGUGUUGCCUGGGGCAGGGAAAGUUAUGAGUGGAACUCCAACAUGAUCAACUCUAACUUGAUCCUUUUAUAAAGUUUUAUUUUAUUUUUCAAUUAAUAAACAUUGAUUUUCACUCCCUCUCACUACUAUCCAAAAUUUAAAGAAAAAAAAAGAAUAACAUAACCUUUGUAACAAAUACAUAUAAUCAAAACAAAUUCCCUUCGUAGUAGCAAGGGCAGUAUUGAUUUUAUUAUGGUUCUAGAGUUGGAAAAUAGAAACAACACUAGGAUUGGGAAAGGAAUGAAGAGGGGAGAAGAGUUGUAAAAAUGGCUGGUGAAAAUAUUGUUAGAAUAUAAUGGUGAAAAUAUUGUUAGAAUGAAUAUAAGACAAAACAUUGCCUGGGCUGCCUAGAUGUGAUCGGCUACUAAUAGGCACUAAUUAGGACAGCUAGAAUUCAGGGUGAGAUUGCCAGAGCUGAAAGGUUUAAAUCUUCUGGGUAAUGGUCCCUAAUCCAAUGGGCAAGAAAUUGAGGCUCAGAGAAAUUGAAUGGUUUGCCCUAAAUUAAACAGUAGUAAAUAGAGAUUUGAACCCAAGACCUCUAACAUCAAAUAGCAAUGUUUAUUCCACAGUACCAAAAUUUUCUGAAAAUACAUACUUCUAAUUUAUAGUAAUCCAGGUUUCAAACAAUUAAAAAAAAUGAAAUGUCAAAAUCCCAAAGUGAUCACAUGAGAGGUUUGAGAGUUUCAUGAGAAAGUUAAUAUUUGAUUCUCAGAGUGGAGGAGGUUUGUGCCAGCAUCUUAUCCAAUCUGUUGAAGAAUUUAGAUGGGAAGGCUGGAUAUGUCAUAAGGGCACAAUUCCCAUGAAUCUCAAGGUACCAAUCCUGUUUAGAAACCAAAACACCAUUGUUCUAUUUAAUUAUAGAGGAACUGUAUUCACCUUUAUUACAUGUUUAGGCACCUGCCUUUUAUAAUCAGCAAUCUAAGAGCAUCCUAACAUGUCAGAACUGUGAACCAUUUUCCUUUCAUGUCCUUUUGUUUCCAUCUAUCAUGGCCUUGAGGUCUACAGAGCUUCAGGGAAUACUUCAAGCCAAGGAUUGGAAAUGCAUACUUUCAAGGUACAGAGAAAGUUAAUGGGAGUAGAAUAGACUUUAAGGGUGAGUCCCUCUUCCUACCUACUGGCAAGAGCCUUCAAAGAAGUCUGCAUAGAGGACAAUCCGUCCUCAUUUUUAAAACCAACAUAGAGAACCUACCAUUUUGCUCAGUAUCCACAGCACAGCACUUUUCAACUCUCAUUAGUAAGAAUUUUUUUUUUUAAGUUUAACCUAUCAGAGAAUUAGAGAAUCUUAAAAUUUGAAGGGACUUAACAGGUCAUUUUGAAGAGUAUUCUAAAUAAUAAAUACUUUCUAAUAAACUCAUCCUUGCCUUUCAGUUCUUAAUUAGAGGAGAUAGAAAAUAGCUGGUGACUAUUUUAUGCUUUCCUAUAAUUGACAUUUAAAAUCUUUAUUCAGCUUUCAUUUCACAGGAGUAAAUUAUCCUGGUCUCUUUAUAGGUACUUAUAUCAAUUAAUCAACAGACAUGUAUUAAAAUGCCACCCAGUGUGUCAGGCACUGUGUUAGGAACAAGGGACACAGAGUUUACAUUUCAUAUUCUUUUAUAACCCAAAGAACUAUACUUCUCAGAAGUAAUGCAGGGAAAUUGGCUAGAGUGGCUAGGGACAGAGAAGCACAAAUACCUCCCAAAUUACAAUUCCACCAAUUAAAGAUUCAUUUGAAUUAGUGAGCUCCUCUUUGAAAGCAAAUUCCCCCAGGAUAGUUAGGCUUAUCAAUCAUUCACACCUUAGAGUGAGUGACUUGAAAGAGAUAAUUGUUUUCCUCUGACUGAAAUCAAUCACACUGAAAGAUUGGCAGUUUUGAUUGGGGGAAAGUUGUUUUAGAGCAGGGAGCUCUUCUAAAGAGUACAAAAAGUAUUGGAAUACCCAGAAGGUAGAAAAUAAGGGAAGAACUAUGUGCCAGCAGAGGCAAGAGGAGAGGCUGGCAGGAUGCCUGUGAGGUGAACACACCUGGACUUGGAGAACCUGAACUUGACUCUUGCCCUCAGACCUUGCUAGCUGUGUGACCCUGAGCAAGUCACUUCAUCUCUCAUUCUGAGUUUACUCAUCUAUCAAAAAAAAGGUGGGGGGGGGGGGGUAGAGAUAAUUUCUCCCACCUCAUAGGAUUGGUUUUUUCCUAAAAAAAAAGUUUGUGGUUGGGGAAAGGCAAGAGUUUUGCCAUCAAAGGGUAUAGCACCAGGUUCAUGCAGACUUAGAUUCAUCCUUAGAUUCAGCCCUACUCCAAAAAGGAGGGGAGGUAGAUGGGGGAGAAGGAAAUCCAACUUUUUUCAUGGCAUCAUUGUAAAACAGCAGUAUCAUUCAUCCUAGAAGCAGAACUGACUAAAUCCCCACAGAGCUAAAGGACAACAUCAGAUUCAUCACCCCUGUUACCCAUACAUCCUUUAAACAUAUCUUCCUAUGAGGUACUGUAUCCUGUUCCAACUUUCUUCAAAUCAUUGUUGUAGUCAUCUAUGAAACAUUUGUUGAGUUUUCUGCCACCUUUUUAAUUGUACAUUCUAGAACUCAUCAUAGCAAUCAGUCAACAAUAAUUCUUUAACAUUUGUUGCUAGACAAGGCAGUAUCUAUAAUACCAAGGAAGGAAGACAUUCUUUGACUUCAAAGAAUUUAACAUAAUUUGUGAAAUGUCAUAUAAACUUAAAGCAACUCUUAGUUCCCUACUUUUGAAAUGCCCUCACUCCAACCACUUUCCACUUGCCUUAAGAACCAACUCAAAUGCCAGUUCCUUCACAAAGACUUCUUUGAUCCUCCAGAGUUGGGGAUUCAUGGCACAUUAUUUGUAUUUCUUUUAAGAAUUUACCCUGUCUUAUGUGUGAUUAUAGUUAUUUAUGCAUUUAUUUUCAACAUAUAGAUUAUAAAUAAGAUUUAUAAACUCCAUGAAGGUAAGGAAUCUGAUAAUUUUUUAUCUCAAAUACAAUAUUCUCAACAUAUCAAGUGUUUAAUAAAUGUUAAAUAAACUAAAUCUUUUGAAUUUCUUAUGUAUUUCCUAAGCUGGGGAAUUUUGGGUUCAAGUCCCAUCUGGGUUGCCAAUUAAUGCGAGAAUUUAAAUUUAGGUUUCAUGCUAAAUAUAAGAAUUCUAAAGUAAUAUUUUGGUCACCAAUUUUAAAAUAUUACAGCUUAAGUCAAAAUGACUUUUAGUGGCUUUAUUUACAAAGAGGUGGAAAGAGUGAAAGUGGAAAAAUGUAAAUAAAGAGACAGAAAGUACUACCUAGCCACAAAUAUUCUAAGUUUAAUCCUAAUGUCUCCAGAUAGCAAAUGUGAAUCCUAAAAGCAAAUCUCACCAGAAUCCAAAAUCUUAAUUAGGAAGCCAAAAUCCAAAGAUCCAGGAGUCACUUAAGGCUAAGAUUGCCAAGAAUCUCACCAGAACUCACACCAAAGAGAGUGUCUCACCAAAGCAUCAAUGAACAGAGAGAGUCUCCUCACCAUAGAACCAAGGAAGGAAUCACUUCACUCACCACUGCAAGAUCCAAGGGAAGUGUCUCUUCAAGCACCAAGGCAGGAAUGACUCAAAGCCAGAGGAUCUAAAGAAAGAAUAAGCCCCAAAUCCAGGAAGCCAUGGCCUUUUUAUAGUCCUUUUCCCAAGUCAAUUCCUAUAUCUUCCCCUCUUCACAGGAAACAAUCAUAGCUUCCAAACUGCUUAGCCUACCUGAGUUGAGCAGUCCCCUUUGAAGGUGAGAGUUUUUGACUUGUGAACUCUUCCACCUAACCACUAGUCAAGUGUUAAGAUUGAUUAAACUAAAGGUUGCUGAUUAAUUACAUUAGAAAUAACAAAAAGGAGGCAGCUGGGUAGCUCAGUGGGUUGAGAGCAGACAAGUAACUUGACCCCCAUUGCCUAACUCUUACCACUCUUCUGCCUUGGAACCAAUACAUGGUAUUGAUUCCAAGAUAGCAGAUAAGGAUUUCAAAAAAAAAGAAAUAACAAAGAGAUAAUUCUAUCUUCAAGAUAUGCAUAAGACUUCAGAGUUCACAAAAUGCAUCUACUUAGCUUAUUUUAUCUAGUCCUCAUAACAACACUAUUCCCAACUAUUUUUACAAUGUAAGAAACUGAAACAAAAAUUCAAUAAGUCAAAUCAACAUUCAAGAAACUGUGCUAUGAUUAAGGAUAGAUAGAAAGAUUCAAAGAAAACUUAAAACAGUCCUUGCCCUCAAGGAGCUUACCAUCCAAUGGGGGAAGACAACAUGCAAAUAAUUAUGUAAAAAUAAGAUAUAAACAAGAUGAUUUGUUCAAGAUCUGCAGAGUUGGAAAUUCUCAGUACCACCAUAGUUUGAAUAUUAGAACCUUAGUCUUCUUAUUCCUGUGUUUGUUCUUUCUAUUACAACUGUGAGUAGUGAUUGGUCUUCACAGUAUUUUAAAAAGCUUUAUGGGAAGAUUACUUGAGCUUCUUGCAAGCAAUACUCCUAUUUAUUAUUAGUUUUUAAAGAUAUUACCAUAUUUUUGUAUAAUUUUAACCUAAUAUAUUAGUGGAACUUUGAGGGGUUUCUAUGCUCUAUGCCCAGAGACUAUUUCCUAAUCUCAGCAUUGAGUCUGUAUUGUGUAUCCAGCCUACUAUCUCUUUUUCCAAUCAUUCAUGCCCUUGAUGAUGCCUUUUAUGCCAUUCUUUCUAUGCCAGUUAUCUUUGGCAAUCAUCUUCCUAUUACCCUUUGCUUUUGCGAUUUUUAAUUUCUAAUGUUAAUUCUUUAGAUAUUGUUGUACAUUCCAUGAUUCUCAGUCAUAUAGCAUUUCCAGAAGAAAAUUAGUGUUAAAGAGAUAGGCUUUUGCAGCAAUGAGCAAUUUGGGAUCAUUGAAAGCACUGUACAAUUUUUCAAAGGCAAGCGAGCCCAAUUUCCUCAUCUUGCUCAAUUUUGAGUCUAGCUGAUUAUCCAGCUGCAACUCCUGUCCACUGUCUACAUACUGAUGAACAAAUUUUUGAUUUCAUUUUUCCAGUAUGGUUGACUAGACAAAUAUUUUUCUCACUGCUAUAGAUUUCACUAAGAAAUCUCUAUAGUCUUCCAGGUGGUGGGUGCUGAGGUAGGAGAAAGAGAGGGAGCCAUCACUGUUGAGGAUUAGUCAUAUGUAAAAGUAUUUAGUAACUAUAAAUCAUGAAUGCAGGACAUUCCCCAAGAUUUGGGGGCAUUUUAAAGCUAUUACUUAAAAAGAUUUAUUUAAACUUUUUAAGCACUUAAAACUUCACUAAGACUUUUGGAACACCUUAUGUAAAUAUGAGUUUGUUUUAUUUCUUGGUAAUGGUAUAUGCCUUACAGUAUUUUAAAACUGCCAUACAUAGGAAACAUAGCAUCACUCUUCUCAUCCUGCCUAUUUACUCUUUUAUUCUUUCUAGAAUGAUAAAGGAGUGCAGUGAGAAGACAAAAGAUAUAGAUGCAUGUCUUGGCUUUGCCAUUUUAUUGGCCCUGUAAUUUUAGACAAAUCCCUUAAAUGUUUCUGAAUUUCCUGAUGUCACCACCACUACUACCACUACCACCCUCUUAAUUCUUGUAUUAAGCAUUAAAACACCAAUUGUUACCUUGUUCUCCCUUUAAAAAUUACAUUGUAUUUACUUAUCUGAGUACAGGUUGUGUCCUUCCAGGACAAUGUAAGAGAGCUCCUGAGGGGAAAGACUGUUUCAUUUUGCCUUUGUAUUGUGCCCAGUAUUGAGCACAAUGCCUUGCAUGUAGUAGGGAUCUAAUAAAUGCCCAUUUAAUUAAAUGGACUUGAACCUGUUUACUCAUUUGUAAAAAUGGUAACAAGAAGAUUGAUUAUCAACAGGAUGUCCAUCAUUACCCUUGCUGCCUUUAUAGGGUACUAGGUAGGAGGUCAAUUCUCUACCUUGGAUAAGACCAUUUAGAAACACUUUAAGGUAAACGGGCAUGUGAUUAGAGCUGAGCCAACAACCUCCUGCCUGCCCUCCCUCCCCCACACAAGAGGAAGGGAGAAGCAAGGUUAAUAUUUUUAGUUUUUUGUAAUCAUCCUGAGUUUAAUAGAACUCAGUGUUCCUGGUGUUUCAAAUUGCUAUAGCAGUGAAGCACCAUAUAAUAUAAGAGGCUGGGGGAAGGGAGUAAAAUUGCCUGGGAGAAUUCCUGUUUUAGGUGUCCAUUAAAACAUUUCUCAAGAAACUGAUUUGCUGCAGUUUUAAUGUAGUUUAAAUUUUCAACUCCAUUGUCUUAGAAGUUAGGUUUUAAAAUUAAUAAAAUGAUUCACAUAGAUUAACCUUUUAGUGUUUCUUAGAAUAUUUAGGUUUGAGUUUGGUGGAAGAAAGGAAAAAAGGUAGAAAGAAAAAGGAUUUUUGACAUGAGCAGUGCUUCUAGCUUUGGAUCUUAGUGAUAAACUAAAGUUUAUCACUUAACAUCACUUUCCUUGGUGGAAGCUGUAAUUGAUAUUUCUGGGUGGCUUUUAUCUAAUAUCUACAUGUCAUUUUGUCUCCUUUUCAGUUAAUCAACCUGUAUUAAGUGCCUACUAUGUGCCAGACAUUGUGUUAAGCACUGGGAAUACAAAAAGGAACAAAAGACAGUUUCUGCCCUCAAGGAACUUAAAAUCUAACAGGGAAGACACAUGCAAACAAAUAUAAAAAGACCUAUAUACAAGAUAAGUCAGAAGUAAUUAACAGAGGAAAGUCACUAGAAUUAAGCUCAGUAACAGACUCAUUAUUUUCUUCAUUUCAAUCUUUGGAAUAUACUUGGUUAACUUCAAUUUACAUGUAGAAAUUCCCCCCUUGUAUCCUAGUUAAUCUGCCUCUUCAUUGCUCAUAUUUUACAGCUUUUUUAUACUUUGUCCAUAAGCAAUGUAAUAUAAUACCCUUCAUCUUUUCAUCACCAAAAAUGCCUACCACCACAAUCCAUCAUUUUCAAAUUCCUCCAUAUGAUCAAAAGCUUCUCUCCUCUUUUCUCUUCCUGUGCCUUUUACUUUACUUCUCUAAAUUAUUCUCCAUCCUCAUCAAAAUCUCUGAUUAUUCCACCCUCCCAACUUCACCAGACUAUCACUUUUGUUCUAGCAUCUUGGCACUUUAGCUAACCAAUCGAACUCAAUACUGUCAUACAUUUGAGUUUUUUUCCUCUUGUCUUCUCCUGGCUCAUCCAUCCCAAAUCUUAAGCACAAAACAGUGAUGUUGAACCUUUUAGAGACUGUUUCAUGCCCUGCCCCAUACAUGAACUCCCUUUCCAUCAUAAUUCCACACUUCAAAUCUCUUCAACAUUAUCCCCAAGCCUCUCUUUUGCUGUAGUUUCAGAAAAUUUAGGACUCCUCUCCUUGCCCAACUCAAAUUCUAUUUUUGCAUCCCUGCUCUCUGUCCUCUCAUCUCCUCUAUGAGAUUGUCCUCUAAAUUAUCCUCUCUUUCUUCUUAAAAAACUUCUCAUUAUCGCCUAGUUCCUUUCCUACUCCCUAAAAAUAUGCCCAAAUCUCCUUACUCUUUUACAUUUUUUUAACCCUUCCUUACUGUCUUAGAAUUGAUACUAAGCAUCAGUCACAAGGCAGAAAAGUAGUCAAAGGCCAUGCAUUUGGGGUUAAGUGAUUUGCCCUUGUCAAAAACCUAGGAAGUGUCUGAGGCCAGAUUGGCCUAACUCACUAACUAUUGAGUGACCUCACUGUCCCUAAAUAUGUUUUCAUUCAUUAAUUCAUACUGUCAUCUCAACUAUCAUGUUAUAUUUGUUCUCACUUUCAUAGCCACACCCCCAGGAAGAAAAAACUGUCAAAUCUCCUUAACUCUACUUUCUUACCUUCAUUCAGCUUACCAUCAUUCACUUCUCAACCUAUUACAAUAGAAAUUCUAUCUCCUCCUCUUCACUGGGCUUACUUCCUGAAAAGGAAGGGAGAGAAUAAAUGUUUAUUAAGUACCUAAUAAGUGCCAGGCAAUAUGCUAAGAGCUUUACAAAUAUUAUCUCAUUUGAUCUUCACAGCCAUCCUGGGCAGUAGGUGCUAUUAUUUUACCCAUUAUACAUUUAAGGAAACUGAGGCAGACUGAGGUUAAGUGGCUUUCCCAGGAUCAUGCAACUACUAUUUAUUAUCAGAUUUUGACUCAUCUUCCUGAUUUCAGAUCCAGUGUAUUAUCCAUUAGGCAACUUACCUACCUCUAAUGACAUAAAUGAUCUCUUUAUUGAUAAACCCAAUGAUAUUUUCCCAGUUUCACAUUCUUUUUAACCUCUUUGUUUCCCACUAUUGACCACCUCCUCCAUUCUGAAUAUUGUUCCUUUCUCUGUUCUUGUGACAACUUUCUCAUAUUUUUCUUCCUACCUUUGUGUCAGACCCUUUUGUCACCUUUGUAGAAUCAUCACCCAAAUCCUGCCCAGUAUCCAUGGGUAUUUUUUCUGGGUCCUCUAAUUUUCUACCCAUAUAUUCCCUUUCAGUGAUCUCACUAAUUAGUCUGUAAAGUACUUUAAAUAUGUUCUUCCCCAUCCUCUAGUUUGUCCUUUAUCCUUUAAAGAUUUCUUGGUUGGUUACCUUCCAAAAUAUAUAUAUGUAUUAUGUAGUCAAGAAAUACCCAAUAUGUUCUAGGUAUUAUAUUAAACUAAAGCUAUAGAAAGAGAAAAACAAUCCCUGUCCUCUCAAGUAGCUCACAAUUUAAAUGAUUUAGACAGCAAGCUACCCAAGGGGAAAGUCUGCAUGUUACAGUUCUUUUGUUCUUUUUUUUUAAACCUUCACCUUCCAUCUUGGAAUCAAUACUGUGUAUUGACUCCAAGGCAUAAGAGUGGUAAGGGCUAGGCAAUGGGGGUCAAGUGACUUUCCCAGGGUCACACAUCUAGGAUGUGUCUGAGAACAGAUUUGAACCUAAGACCUCCCGUCUCUAGGCCUGGCUCUCAAUUCACUGAGCUACCCAGCUGUCCCCUCUUUUGUUCUUCAUUAUAUUUAGUGUCAUAGUUGAUUAGAGGAUCAUAAAUUUAGACCCGAAGAAGUCUUCUAGCCUCUUCACCUCUUUUUUCUUUCAACUCUUACUUCCUGUCUUACUAUCAAUUCUAAAACUGAAGAAAAGGGGCUAGACAAUGGGGGUUCGGUGACUUGCCCAAAGCCAAAGAGCUAGGAAGUAUCUGAAGUCAUAUUUGAAUCCAGGACCUCCCAUCCCUAAGUCUGGUGUUAUAUCCACUGUGCUAACUAGUUCUCCUGGCUCCUCUUCUUAUAGAUAGGAUGUGGAGACUGAGAACUAAAAUAAUGACUUGGUUAAAAAAAAUAGUCAGAGAUGAGAUUUAAACCUAGGUUUUGAAACCCCAAAUCUGGUAUUUCUACUUUCCUAAAGUGCUGCAUAUAGAAGGUUCUCAAUAGGAAUUUAUUAAUUUAAUUUCAUUGGAUAAUAAUAGUACCCACCAAGAGAGCUACUGUGAGGAUCAAAUGAGAUAAUAAUUAUAAAGUGCUUAUGAUAGUGCCUGUCACAUAGUAGUCACUAUAGAAAUAUUAGCUAUUAUUAACUAACAAAUUGACAAUUUUAUACUACAGUUUUUGAAUGAUGUUCUUAUGAGGAAGUUUUUAAAGGAUUAGAAUUUUAAAGGAUUAGUAUCUAUUACAUUUGUUCAUGAUCCCACACAUGUGUUCCUCAUUAUUGGUUAAAGUUAAUUAGCCAGUUAAUUAGCUUUUAGAAAUUGUUUGCUAAGAUAGUAAAGUAAGUACUUACUUUAGAAAGUAAAGUAAGAACUUACUUUAUAUAGUAUACAAUUGAUAAGCAUUGAUUCUAAUAGAAAGAAUUAGAACUAUUCAUAUCUUUCUAUUACAUAUUUUACAAAUGUAAUCUUAUUUUUCCAAAGAAUUGUAUGUGAUUAUCUUUUAUUCUUCUCCUAUGAGCCAGUUUUCCUGUACAUAGUGCAUUCUUUCCUCUAUUCUAUUGUCUAUGCAUAAAGUACUAUUCUGGUAUCUUGACUAGAAUAAUAUAUGGGUCAUUCACACCUUGGAAAACCAAAAUUUAUAAAUAUGCAGAGUUCUCUCCAUUCUUGGGUCACAUUAAAACUAUUGUUGCUGAAUGGUUUAUUCACUGGAAUAUCAUGAGCAAGGUUUUCUACUUAUCAACACACCAUGGCAAUUCAUGUAAUAUUUCUAUUCUCUGUGUAUAGCCUAGGAUUAUGCACCAGUUACCACAUUGAUGCUAAUAGAUAGGAUUGCCAAGUAUGAAAAACAACAGAAGGCUUUCUCAGGUUCACUUCAUUAAACAUGAACAAUUUACUUAACUCCAAUAAACACUUGUUCCUUACAUUGAAAACUCUCAAGAAAAAUUACAUUGUAAUUUUUUAUAAGGCAUAUAUAUAUAAUCACUUAAAUGAGAGAUCUAUUACAUAUAUUGUUAUUCAACAAAAAUAAGUUGCUAAUAAAAACUAUGAAGAGUACUACUAGGCAAAGUAAAUGAAAGAUUAUGUAGGAUUAUAUUUUAAAAUAGAGAGUGGUGUAGCACAUACACCAAAAGAGAGAGUAGUAAACUAAUAUUCCUUGACCCAAGGGGAUUGUGGGAGUUUAUGAUUUGGGCCAGCAGCUCUUCUCAAGGAUUCUAGUUGGCUAUUUGGGACCACAGAAUCUUAGGGGCAGCUAGUUUAGCUUCAGAAAAAUAAAUCAUAGGGUAGGGAUGAAGAACUCAAUUAUAGAAAAAAAAAAUUAGUAUCCAGUAGCCAAAGAUAAGCUAAAACCUAAGAUAAGAUAUAGUAAAAGCAUAAUAGAUCUAGAGCUAGGCGGGACCUCAAAGGACAUAUAUAGUCCAACCUUUUCACUUUAUAGGUAAGACCUAUAUGAGACCCAUAGAGGUUAACCAGUUAUCUUCAAUAAAUUCAAAUUACCAUGCCCAAAGAAAUUAUAACCCAGAGUAGUGGAGGAGAAAUUGAAUAGUGUGAUUGAUAAUCUACUUUCAGUGACCUUGGAAAGAUCCAAGAGAAUGGGAAAGUUCACCAGGGCUGCAAAAGGACAAAUGUUCCAACAUUUUCCAAAAAAGUCAGAGGCUGAAGUCUGCAAAUUAUAGGCCAUACUUUAUUUCCUGAUAAAAUUAAAGAACUUGUCAUUAAAAAUUAUGAAAGAAAUAGAUAAGGAAGAGAUGAUCCUAAAAAGCCAGGAUAACUUCAUCAAAUGGUUCUACUAGGUUGACAUAAUUUACUUUUUUUUUAAGUUACUAGACUAGGAAAUAGAGAAAUAAGUAUAAUAAUAAAUAGAUAAUAAGGAGUAAAUAUAGUUUACCUAGAUUUAACAGUACAUUUGAGUCUCUCAUGCUGCUCUUGUGAUUCUCAUGGAUGAUAUAUAGGCCAUACAAUGGUUCAUUAGGGGAAUUCACAAUUAAAUAGUUGUUUCCAAAGAACAAUCAUUAAGAUUCUGAUGUCAUCUUAUUGUAGUUUAGGAUCUUGAUUUAUUUUCCCAACUACCACUACUAUAGUUUGAAUCCCCAGUGAGUGACUGACUGUUUCUAUGGGUAACCCUGAGGAAUCAAUGUUGGUUUCUAUUACAUUUGUUCAUGAUCCCACACAUGUGUUCCUCAUUAUUGGUUAAAGUUAAUUAGCCAGUUAAUUAGCUUUUAGAAAUUGUUUGCUAAGAUAGUAAAGUAAGAACUUACUAUAUAUAGUAUACAAUUGAUAAGCAUUGAUUCUAAGGCAGAAGAGUUGUAAGAGCUAGGCAAUUGGAGUUUAAAUGACUUUCCCAGAGUCACAUAAGUAGGAAGUGUCUGGGGUGAGAUUUGAACUCAGGACCUUCCUUCUCCAGGCCUGGCUUUCUAUCCACUGAUCCUCCUAACUCCCCCUGCUUUGCUGGUUCUUUAUGUAUACUAAAUCUACUAAUCACGAGUAGAGAGCCCUUCACUCUACCCAAGGCUCUCGUGGAGUUGCUUCCCUUUUUGUUCUUAGUUCUCUUACUUGGUGAUCUCAUAAACUUCCAUGGAUUAAAUUAUCAUUUAUAUAUAAAUGAUUUCCAGGUCUCCAUAACCAAAUCUAACCUUUCUCCAUAUCUUCAGUCCUACAAAGCAGCUGCUUCUUGAAUAUCUCCAAAUAAAUGUUCCAUACACCUCCCAAAUCCAACAUGUCCACAACAGAACCCUUUUUUUAAAAAAGCUUUCCCUCUCCAGCUCUCCUAUUAGUAGGAGUCAUCCUCUAUUCCUCAUUCUAAUUCAGUCCAUAUAUCCAAUCUGUUGCCAAGUCCUGUCAGGUUCUCUCUCUGGGAAUGGGGGUACGGGAGGUGAAAAGCAUAUUCUUCUCAAAGGCAUUUAAUUUCUCAUGUUGAGUCCUUUGUAUUUCUACCUUCAAAACUAUGGUCAGUUCUCCAUCCUACUUUAAUCCUUCUAAUGCAUGUGUCUUCUUCCUUCCUAAUAGACACUUUGUUUGGACUUCAGUCUAAUAGUCACUUUCCAGGAGAGUCCUUCUUGCUACUCCCCACCUUCAGUUUGCCAAGCUGACAGAUCACACAAAUGAAGGGAAAAGACAUGGUUUUAUUAUCUCUCUGAGGUUCUUGAAACAAUCUCUCAUAUUUUCCCAGUCUGUAAGAGGAAAAGUUCUUUCCAUAUUUACAUCAAAACAUUCAACAAAUAUCCCUAAAGUCUGAUAGGGUAUUCCAAGUCUUUGAUGGGGUUUCUGCUAACAUACACCAAUUUUGCAAUGACUGAGUGGUCAUAAUGACAGACCUGUUCAGGAAUUACACCAAUUUAACACUGUCAACAAACAAGGAUGCUGCAACAUUAUUAUGGAAUACAAGACAGAAUGGUAUGUACAGUAACAUUUUAGAUACUAUGAGAUAAGUAAUCUGCUCUGCUCAGGAAUAGUCUUAACAGAAAAAUAAAAACAAAACCAAAUAAAAAACCUGAACUAUUCAUUACAGAAAAAAAAUGAGAGGAAAAAUAUCUUCUGUAGGCCCUGAUACUGCUAAAGAAAGCCAUUUUAGUCUAACCUAAAACUCCUGCAAUUUUUUUUCCUAUAAUACUUUGCUGUUACUCCUCAAAAAUCUAUUCAAGACAGAAUAUUUACCACUGAUUGCAGCCUUUACCUACUGGAAACUCCCAUUGAGAUUAAGAGUUGGCCCAAUGGAUAUAGCACUGGACUUGGAUUCAAGGAAUUGAUAUUUAAAGCCUGAUCCUCAUAGAGGUAGUGUGACAAUGGGAAAGCCAUUUCUACUCUCUAUAUGCAUUUCCUACUCUUUAAAAUCAGGAUAAUAAUAGCAUCCACCUCAUGGAAAUGAGAUAUUAUUAGUAAACUGCUUUGCAAAGCUUAAAGUGCCAUACAAAUGUUACCUACUAUUAUUAACAUCAUCAUUAUUAGAUCCAGUGAUUAUAAUUCACUUAGACUACAUAGCAUAAUAAAUAAUGCAACAUAUUUUAUUUCAAUUUGAUAAGCAUGAUAAUAUCAAGAUGCAUUAAGCUUAAGAAAACAUGAUUCACAGCUAUUACUUACAUAUCAACUCCAAUAUGUUCUCCAUGAACUCAUACUCUGGCGUGCAUUCUAUUCAACUCCCGGUACUACCUCUAUGCCCACAGAAGUAAAGUAGACAGAUAUAUUGCCCUCUCAUUAACUCUUCUGUUUCCCAUUGCAGCAAGACGGAGAAAGAGUUCAGUACCUCAUAGUAGUGGCUCCUGGGGCACCCUAGGCUAAUCAUUCUGUCUUGAAGGAAAUGAAUGAAACUCUACCCAAAUAUUUCUGUACCUCUCAAAAUUGCUGCCUCCCCUGCUCUGGGUAUGUGCUGUUACAGUCUGGCUUCUUUCUACCCUAUAUCCCAAACAAGGUGAUAAGCAUUUCAUGAAGAAAAGUCAGACAAACUAUAACAGGAAUGUCCCAGGACUUCAUCUAUUCUGAAGAUAUGUCCAUUUUAUUAAGAAGUAUAACAGUAACCCUGAGCACAUCCAAAGCUGGUCAAACAGGGUUAUUAUGAAGGGAUUCAAGUACAUGCCAAAUAAGUGCAAGGAAUAUGUCCUGGCCCUCUCUCUCAGAACCUAGUGGACUUUUUCCCCUCGGGAUUCUCAUGUACCUCAAAGGAUUUGAACAUUGUUUCUUUUCUCCACUGACAAUGUCUUAAGUUCUGUACUGCAAUAGUAGUACAAUUUUCUGUCUUAGCUGAUAAGAGUAUUUUAAGUUUGAUGUUUGCAUAGUAGUUAUGUUCAUCUUUUGUUUGAUGUUAUUUGCUGUCUUGAUUUUGCUUCUGUUUGACAUUUGUACUUGUUUAUUAUUUAAUCCCUUUUCCUUUUUCCUUGUUAAAAUUCCCUAGAAUAGGUUAGUAUUAGUUAGAGUAAGAUAGUUGAGUGUAGGUUGUUUGUUAUUUUGGGUAGAUUUCUUAGUUUAGGUAAUUGGUAAGUAUUUUGGUUUGUGCACAAAUACAAAAAUGGUGUUUCCAACAUGAUUUUUGAUUCAUGCAAAAGGGGGGAAUGUCAUGAAGAAUGAACAGUUUGCAAAAAACUGAGAGGUGCAAAAGUCAGAAUGAGUGAUUGACAGGAGCAUGUGACUAAGAGUCACAUGGGAGCCUAAGGCUGGAGAUCUGGAAUAAGAUUCUAUGCCCCAACAGUCAGACAUCUUUUCUCCUGAAGGACCUUGGAAAAACAGGUAUUCUACUUCUUCUAACAACAGCUAAAGAGGGAAAUCUUUGAAUCUAGCUGCUGGCAGCUUGAGGAAAAUAAGAUUGAAGGCAUACAUCACCUCUGAAGAUCCUGGCCUUUUGAUUGAACUCCUUGUCUGAGAGUUGGCUAUUGGGGAAAAUUACUGUUUUGCUUAGAAAGAUAGUUUUAGAUAGUUUAUAGACAUUAGAUUUUAAGAUAACUAGUAUAAUUUUCUCUUAAAACCCCUGUUCCUUCCUCCCCUUUCCAACCAAUAAAUCUGAAUUAUUUAUAUGUUCCCUUUGUGUACAUUCCUCACCAAAUUCCCAAUAUAACAGUUACCACCAAAUACAUCAGGUAAACUUUUAUAAAGGGAUAUUCAUUUUGAAAAUAUAGCAGUAACAAACAUAUAAACACUUUCCCUAAUACAAGCAGGGGAGAAUUGUUCUCUGUGCCAUUUGGUCUCUAAGGUCAACAGAGAAAUUAGGUUCAAAACUCACUUCAUUUCCUACGUAAUAUUGAUCCCACCAAAUUCAUAUCUAAAGACUGUAUAGCUGCUAGCUUUGCAGAUCUCUUCCAUUUUUGCCAUGGCUCCUCAGAUAUUGGGCUUGUUGCAAUGCCAAAUCUGGAUUCCUGGACUCCCAUAGUCCUGUGGAUUGGGCGCCUAGCCUUUGGCACUUCCAAAAUCAGUGUCUCUACUCCCUGUACUUGGAAUGGAAAAAAUGAACAAAAAGCUCAAAAGAUAUUAAUUUCUCAUGAGCCAUAUGGUACCAGAGUUGAAGGCCUCAUGACCCCUUCACCUUAAAGAAUAAUCUCUUAUAUGCUGCUCUAAGACAAGGACUCACUUUUCUCUUCUAGAGGCAUAUGCAGCAAAUAAAUGUGCCUGAAGCUGACUCAAGAUUUUGGGAAGAUAUCCUUCCAACUACUCAGCCACUGGAAAAAGGCUUCUCCCAUCUAUUUGGGAGGCCAACCAGAACAAGUUACAAAAUGUCCAUACUUCUGCUUCUCUCCCAGAUCAUCACAACCAUAUUAGAAGCAAGUCCCUGGAGUCUUCCACUUGGAGACACCACCUUAGCAAGCUGAUGAGUCCUGUACAGGUUCCAAAUCCCUAUUAUGCAAGGAUUGCUUGAAGAAACAACAAAUGUUUAGCUUCACCAAAAAGAAUCCUCAAGGGAAACAUCAUUGCUCUCUUCAAGUCUUUGCAAGGCUGACACUAGAAAAGGAAUUAGACUUGCUAUGCUUGGAUCCCAAAGGCAAACUCCAAAUGAGUACAAAGAAGUUACAAAGAGGACAAUUAUAACUAGUGCAAGGAAAAGUUUCCUAACAAUUGAACUACCCAAGAGUGGUGUGGGCUGCCUCAGGAAGGAAGCAGUUUUUUCUUCCAUUGAGUAGUUUGAAAACUUUGUCAAAUAUAUUUGAUGAGGAGCUCUUCUAGGGCCCUUUAUUAGAUUAGAUGACUCUCAUGCUUCUAUGCAACUCUUAAAUACUUUGGGGAAGUAGGUUAAAUAUAAGCAUUACCAUCCCCAUUUUACAAAAUUAGGAGCAAGGAGUACAAGUUGAAAAGGAGUAGAUUUUUGUCUUGAUGAAAGGGAAAACUUCUUGGCAUUUGGUCUAUCAAAAAACAGAAUAGGUUGUCUUAGAAAGUAGAUGUCUCAAGUCUAGAGACGGGAAGUCCUGAGUUCAAAUCUAGCCUCAGACAUUUCCUAGCUGGGUAAGUCACUUGACCUCCAUUGCCUAACCCUUACUGCUCUUCUCUCUUGGAACCAAUACACAAUUUUCAUUCUAAGAUGAAAGGUAAAGGUUUUUUAAAAAUAAAGAAAGUAGAAGUCUUCAAACAAAGACUAGAUAAAUAGUUGGGCAGUACGUUAUCAUAGGGAUUCUUAUCCAGGUAAGGCUGGACUAGAUGACUUCUGAUAUCCUUUUCUAAUAGAAUGUCUGAUCCUUUCUUUAAAACAUUGUAUAUCUGGUGUCAAAUGGAUCCUCCAGUGCCAGCUAAACCAACUUUCUCAUUUUAAAGAUGAGCAAACCAAAAUUCUCUGAGGCCAAGUGAUUUGCCCAGAGUCUCACAGAUAAUUAGUAGGAUUGAAAUUCCAAUUCUUGGACUCCAAAUCUAGUGCUUUUGACAAUGUGCACCCCCCCCCCCAGGAUUUAUGCCAGAGCUGUGCCUCAUUUCUAGUCAUCUUCCCAUCACUUAUUUUCACAAUACCAAAUGAAUUUUUUAAAUUCUGAACUUAACAAAUACUAAAUAAAAUGAUCAUUUCUAUAUACAAAGUAGAGCAGAAAAGGAAUUGUACAUGGAACUACAAAAUCUUUAUUGUUAUAAUCUUUUUUUUAAAAAUAUGUAAUAUGUAUGUAAUAAAUUCAGUAUAUAACUUCCCAGGCAGGUCUUGUUUGCCUGUGAUUCAUUUUGGCUUUUUUCCUGUUCACUUCUGUGCAUUCUCUUUUUUAAUAUACUCAAAAAUUUUCACUUUAUGUUUUCUAAUGCUCUCAUCUCUUUCUUACUUAAAAAUUCCUUUCCUAUCCAUAAAUCUGAUGGGUAAUAAGUUCCCUGUUCUUCUAAUUUUCUUAUGAUACCUCUUUUUAUAUUUAGAUCAUGCAUCCAUUUUGAUAUUGGUCAAUACCUAGUAUCUACCAAAAUACUUUCCAGUUGUCCUAGAAACUUUUACCAAAUGAUGAUUUUUUUUAAUCUCAAUAACUUGGAUUUUUCAUUACUGAUUGUUGUAUAUCUGUUCUGUUCCACUGAUCUACCUUACUAUUUCUUAGCCAGUACUAGAUAAUUUUGAUAAUUACUGCUUGGUAAUAUGGUUUAAGAUCUGAUACUACUAGACCUCCUUCCUUUAUAUAUUUUUUCAUUAAUUCUUUUGCUACUCUUGAUCUUUUGUUCUUUCAAAUGAAUUUUGUUGUUUUUCUAAUUCAAUAAAAUAAUGUUGUUGAUAAUUUGAUUGGGAAGGUUGUGAAUAAGUACAUUAGUUCAGUUAGGGUUGUAAUUUUAAAUAUAUUGGCUCUGUCUGUUCACAGCAAUAUUUCCCCAAUUGUUUAGAUGUGACUUUAUUUGUGUAAAAAGUGAAUUUUUCCAUAAACUUUUUCUGCAUAUAUUGAUAUCAUCAUAUGAUAAUUAUUACUUUUAUCACCAAUAUCAAUUAUAUUGAUAGUUUUCCCAAUAUUAAACCAUCCCUGCAUUCUUGGUAUAAGUUCUUUUUGGUCACAAUGUAUAAUCUUUGUGAUGUAUUGUUAUAGUUUCUUAGCUAGUGUUUUAUUUAGUAUUUUUGCAUCAAUAUUCAUUAAUGAAAUCAGUGGUCUAUAUAUUUUUUUCUUUUUUGUUCUUCCUGGUUUAGGUAUCAGUAUCAUAUUUAUUUCAUAUAAGGAAAUUUCAAAAUAUUUCAAAGACCUUUUUUCUUUAUUUUCUUUUCCUUGUAUUUUUAGGAAGUACCCUAUACCUAGUUUCCCUUCCUAUUUCCCCAAAUUGAAGGAAAAAUAGAAAAAUAAAAUGAAACUGUUUCAUCAGUAUGCAUGGUCAAAUAAAAUAAAUUCCCACAAUUGGCUUUGCCUAAAAAUGUAUGACUUAUUCUCAUCUUUAGUAUAUCAUCUCUACAUGAGGAGAUGGUGACAUGUUCCAUUAUCAGUUCUCUAGAAUUGUGGUUAGAAUUGAGGGAAAUUCUUGGGUCUUCCAAGUUUUUUUUUUUCCUUAACAAUAUUGUUGUUACUGUAUAAGCAGUUUUCCUGGUACCAUUUAUUUCACAUUCAAUCAGUUUGUAUUAAUCUUCCCAAGAUUCCCUGAAACAGCCUUUUGUGUCAUUAAAAUUUUAUGACAAAAAAACACUCCAUUGCAUUCAUUUUCAACUAAUUCUCCGAUCAAUAAUACUGCUUCAUUUCUAUUUCUUAGCUAUAAGAAAAAGUACAUCUUAAAAAUAUAGACAUGAAUUUUUGCAAAUGGCGGGGUCCCUUUCCUUCUUUGAUCUUUUGGGGAUAUAGGCAUGAUAAUGAUAUUAUAGGGCCAAAGCAUAUGAAUAGCUGAGUGAUUUGGGGAACAUAGUUCCAGAAUGCUUUCCCAGGGUGGCUGAACUAAAUCAGAGCUCCAACAACCAUGCAUUAGUGUCCUGGCUUUUUAACAUCAUCUUUGACAAUCUUAAUAGAUUAGUGUUGUUUUAAUAUACAUUUCUUCAAUCAUUAGUGAUUUGUAGCACUUUUUCAUAAAGUAGUGAUAACUUAGAUUUCUUUCUUUGAAAACUGCCUAUUCGUAUCUUUCAACUGUUUAUCUGUUUAAAAAUCACUGUCUUGGAUUCAUUAACUUUGUCAGAAAAACUUGCUGCAAAGGUUACUUUUCCCCAGUUAAUUUUUUGCCCUUCUAACUUUAAAUGCAUUGGUUUUGUUUGUGUUAAAAAAUUUUUUUUGAUUUUGUGCAGAUGAAUUUUUUCCUUUUAAUCUUCUGUGCUCUUCUCUAACACUUAUUUUGCAUUAAUUCUCCAUCAAUCCAUCACUACAAAUGGAUUUAUUGUCUUAUUUCACCAAAUGAUUUUUAAAUGAAGAUUGUAGACAUAGGAAUGGUGAGGAAAUGAAGGCAUAUUAUUUCCGAUGGCAAAGAUGACUCAGACCAAUCUUUUCUAAAGACAUAACUUUAUUAUUGCAAAAUCUGAGAAGCAGAAAUUCAUUAGAGUAGUCUGAGGUCUCAAGAUAUAAAUAUCCUUAUUUUCUCAGAAUUAAUCACUCAAUAGCUAUAAACUUUAAAUUUAGUCUUCUUUUUAACCUUUCUCUUAUACUCUCAGAGGUGUAAAGUACAGUACAUAUCAUAACAACCUGGGUUGAACCUAGUUAGUAUCUGAAUGGAAACUUUCCAAGUUCUUAGAAAGAUAUGUGUUAUAUCAAGUUGGAUAUACCCAUACCCUCAGAAUCCUAUUCUGACUAUACUUGACAGUUUCCCCAUUUGUAGGAGUAUAAAAUGAAGGUUCCAAUCCAUAUGAUCUUUUGAACUUUAUGAUACUACAGUUUAAAGAUUUUCCAACAAAUUUCAAUUUAGGCUGCUAAAGAAAAUUCUCAGUGUACAAACUAGCUACUUCCUCCUCCAGUUUCAAUGGAAAGGGAGAGACUUUUCCACUAAUUCUUUUAAACCCCUGUCGUAUAGUGUCUUUUUGUAAGGUCCAAGGUUUUCUGCUUCGUACACCUGAAAGGGAAGAAAUUAAAUAUCAGCCACAAGUGGAACACUUUCAUUUUGAUCUCUUGCUUAGAAACUGGUCUUUAUAAAAAUCAUUGUGGGUAUGAAAAUUGCUCUAAAAGUUUUCAACCAUUUUAAAGCCUUUCUUAUAUUCCUUUAGUUAAAUGUUGGAGGUUGGGGUGUGGUCUGGGAGGAGAUAAUGAAGUCUUUUUUUUUUCCCAUAGCUCAUUCUACUUCUGAGUUAUAGAAUAAUGAUUUGGGGGAUUUUUUAUAUCAGCAAAGAAUAUAGUUUCUUUUACUGUUGAAAAUUAUUAUGAUUGAGGAAAGAGUCAAGACCAUGGCACAAUGUAGAAGUCAUUCAUUGUAUUUAAUGCUCCUUUUCAUUUUUAAAAAUCUAAAAGGAAAAAUUUCAAAAUAUCAUAAUUCAACAUAGAGUAAGAUAUAGGCAAAGAAGGAUCUCAAAAAAAGCACUUUCAGAAAUAUGAGAAGGGAGAGAUCACUUUCUGGUGACAGGAUCAGGGAAAACUUCCUUUAUAAGGUAGCACCUGUGCUGCACCAUAAGGAAAUUAUGGGUUUGAGCAGGUAAAGAUCAGAAGUAGCAUCUUCAAGACUUUGAGAAUCACCUGCUUGAAUGCUUGAAGAUGGGAUAGGACAUUCAAAUCAGCAACUCUGCAUUAAGUACCUACUAGGACAAGAGAGUAUGCCUUCAAAAUUUUUCAUUCUUAAUUCAGGAUCUAAGAUAUAAAUUUGAAAAAUAAAAUAUGUAUUACAUAGCAAUAUAAAAUCAUAUCAUAAGAUUGAAUAUUAUUUGGAGCCAAUUAGUAUAACAAACACAAAAUAUUAGGAUAAUUUUUGAGAAGGGAGAGAUCAUCAUAGGUUAGUCAGGUCAGUUUCAUGGAGGAUGUGGAAUUUCAGUUACAUCUUAGUGAAUAAGCAGGAUUUGGGUAGCUAUAUCAGAGUGGCAAAGGCCUUCUAAGCAUAGCAAAUAAUAUAAGCAAAGGUGAAUAGCCAGGAAGAAAUUUGGCAUUUUUAGAGGACAAUAAGAACACCAACAGUUAUAGCUGAGGAUUCCUGCAGAAUAGCAGCAGAAAAUAAAACAGAAUCAUUAGGUUGGGAUGAGAUGUUGAAAGGUUUUGAAUGCAAGGCUAAAGAUAUUGAGUUGUAUCCCAAAUCCUCAGAAUUUGCUUGAUUUUGAUCCAAGGUCAUUAUUUCAUCGUAUAUGUCAUGGAAAAUUAGUGGCAGCACAACAUAGUAAACUACUGAGAAUCAAGUCAAGAAAGACCUUAGCUUACAUCCUAUCUCUGAUACUUAUUAACUUUUGUAUCUUAGGCAAGUCAUUACCUCUGUGAGCUUCAGGCCACCUCUAGGAUCUAACUACCAAAUCCCAGGAUGUUAGGAGCUAGAGUUCCUUGCAAAAUCUAAUAUACUCAUAUAAGAAAAGCUAUUAAUGUUUGGCCAGACCAAUGAACAAUGGCAAUUUAAGAACAGCAUAUAAAUGCUGUUGAUUGAUACCUGUGGUAUUAAUUACAACUGUUAUAUUCUUAUCUCCCUAAAAAUUCUAUAAGGAAGAUUGUCAGCUACUUCUACCAAUGGGUUAAACAAUAAUGAAAGGAACGGGGAAUAAUACAUCUAGAAAUGACAACUCUAAAGUCUCCAACUCUUCCCCAGUAUCUGACAGAAUCUCCCUUAGUACCCUCCUUCCUCUAGAAUUUUUAAGUUAAUCAGUGGACCUUUCUGAAGAAUUAUAAGGCUUUUACUACAAAAAUAAUUAAAUGAAACAAUUUCCUAUGCCUAAAAUGAUCAAAUAUGUUUCUGAAAUUAGAAAAAUACAGAUUCAUACCAAAAAUAUAGCUGUAAUGAAACUGCAUGUCCUUUAUUGAUUUUAUUAUGAAAUAGUUUCUUGCUCUGUUCUUAAUUCAGAGCAAUGAAAUGCUGUUGAUUUAGUUUAAAAUAAAAUAUUGAAAAAUCCUUGUGCUCUAGGAGACUUGUCACUCUAAUGGGUGCCUAAUUCACUAUAACAGUAUUUUGGCUAUAUUGGAGCACAAUGAAAGGAAUUAGAUUUAGCUUUGCCAGAAUUUCACUGUGAAAGAGUUUGCUGUAACAGUGUUUUAUUAUAUUCCUGUUGAACUCCAGCCAAUUGAAAAUAGAAUCUCCUCUCCAUUCUUUUAAAUUAGCCUUAACCUAUAAACAAAAGACAAAAUCAAUGUCCAAAUGUAGCUUCUCAUGCCUAGUCCUUUAAGAAAUUUGUUCUAGUGCUAAUGUGUAGGACUCACAGUUAAUGGAACAUAUAGUAAUUGAAAAUGGUAAAGUCAGAUUUCUCACUCAGUUUAGACUAUUCAAGUACCCAGGAAGUGAUCUAUAAAAAUUGCCCCAUUAGUUCUCCGGGAGAGUUAGCACACAGUGGAUGGACAGGGGCUUCAAAGUCAGGAAGACCUAGGUUCAAUAACUUCCCCUGGCAUAUACUAGAAUGCAUUUUGUGACCCUGAGACAAAUCAGUUAACCUUUUAGUGCCCUCAGGCAAAUCCCAAAAGCUAUCAAUUGCAGAAUAGUUUUAGAUUUGUUAUAGAAGGAGUUCCCUACACCAGAGAUGUCAUGACUCUGUACCAAAUAUUUUAGCUCAAACUGAGACCUACACAUAUAGCUCUAUAGCUGAGAAAUGUAUGAUCUCUAUAGCAAAUAUAUAUACAUGUUGCAUUGUAUAUAUAUAUAUAUAUAUAUACAUUAUAUAUAAUAUAGAAGCACAUAUAGAGAUCAUAAACUUUCAGCUUUAGAUCUGAAAAAGGACCUUGUCUUGUCCAGUUGAACCUUAGCAAAGGCAUAGAAACUUGUCUAGGGUGUUAGACAAAGUCAUCAUCAGUCAAGUCAGAAAUCAGUGGCUUAGUUCUCCAAAUCCAGUGCUCAUUUUACUAUCCUGCACAUUUCUAGUUCAAUAAAAGGGUUUCUAAAGGAUAAAGUCCAGUGACUAGAAUAGGUUGAAGUAGAAUGUCCUAUACUUAAAAAAAUUAUAGUGAAACCACUAAUAAGAAAUUAUUGGGCAUAAACUCAAAAAAGUAAUUCAAUGCUUUGUGUUGAUAAUUAACAGAAGGUUUUAUAUAAAUUAAUUACUAAAAAAAGAGGAAACUAGAGGCAGAUUUAAACCAACCAACAAUAAAUGUACUAUUUAUGUAUGAUGGCUAUGUAAAAUUAUCCAUGUCUUGAUUCUUCAGAUUCUAAGAAAACCUCUGAUAUUUUAUUAUAUUUAUAUGUAUGUAUAUAUAAAUUAUAUAAAUAAAAAUAUUUUCUAUAAAACCCUUUCCUUCUGUCUUGGAAUCAAUCCAAGGAAGAGUAAUGGUAAGGACUAGACAAUGAAGGUUAGGUGACUUACUCAGGAUGUCACAGCUAGGAAGUGUCUGAGGCUAGAUAUUACCUCCUGCCUCUAGGCCUGUCUCUCAAUCCUCUGGGCCACCUAGAUUCCCCUCAAUAUUUUAUUUAUUCAAAAUUAUUGAUGUGUAUGUGUCAAGACAUUGAAUCUCGCCAAAAAAAAUCUCCUAAAAGAGAAGGAAGGAGUGAACUCUACUUGCAAGUUAAUGAAAGCAGCUUUUUUUCAGAUGUGGUAUAGUAGUAACGAAGGACAUAUUGGAAAGAGAGCUCAAGAGGCAAAAAAAAAAUUCAUAUAUGAAAGGUGGUGGGUGUUUUAAAAAAUAUAAUUUUAUGGAUUUGGGAGCAAGCUACACUAUACAGCAUAAAAGAGAAUAAAAACUUUAAUAAGAUCUAUUUGCCCAAACCCAGAACCCUUUAAAGAAAGACCUCAAUGGCAAGUGAGAAUGCUACAAAUAGUAUAAAUUGGAUCACUAAAGAGAAGAAUUUUGUUAAUUACAUGAUUUCCCACAAGGUUAAAAAGACUAAAGCCAGAAAGGUGAUGUAAUUAACGUGGCAAUGAACAAAAAAAAGAACUAAAAAUGUCAUCAUUUAUAUUAGAUGAGAGAGAACAUUUUUGUCUUCCUAACAGAAAGGAAAAGAAAAUUAUUAAUAAAGGGUGGUGAAAAGGCAGAGGUAGUUAAUGUUGCAUUCAUUUCUGCUGCCAUGGAAGAGUUGAUGAGAAUUGUUGUCUAGAACCAGUCCUGGUUAGUGUAGAAAAGUAAAACCUUUUAAAAAAAGAUAGAAGCCUUAUUACAAAAGUACCCCUAGAAAACUGAGCCAACCAUUGUGGAAAGCAAUUUGGACUUCUGUCCCCAAAGUGACUAAAUUGUGCAUGCUUUUAAAACCAAUGAAUAUUGGACUAUAACUAUUAUGCCUCUACCCCGAAGGGAAAAAAAAAGAGGAAAAGGAAGUAUUAUGUGUAUAAACAUACUAUUAACAGCUGUUUUGUGGUGGCAAAGAACUAGAAAUAAAAGAGGUCCUCAUCAAAUGGAAAAUAGCUGAACAAAUUAUGAUAAAUGAAUGUAAUAAGAUAGUUGAGUUGAGCUGUAAGAAAUGAAGAAAGAGCAUAUUUCAGAGAAACCUGGGAAGACUUGUAGGUAUUGAUGCAGAAGUAAAAGCAAAACCAGGGGUACAAUUUAUAUUAUAACUUCAUCAUUAUGAAAAUGAAUAAUUUUAAGGAUUUAAGAACUUUGAAAAAUGUAAUAAUCAAUCAUGAUUCCAGAGGACUAAUGAUGAAGAAUGUGCCUUACCUCUAGACAGAGAGGUGCAAACUUAAUAUGCCGAAUAAGGCACACAUUUUUAGACAGGACUAAUACGGGAAUUUGUUUUGCUUGACUGUGCACAUUUUUCAUAAGGGUUCUCCCUGAUUUGGGUGAAAAGAGGUAGGUAGAAGAGAGAAAGAAGAAAAAAGCCUUGUUAAUGGACAAUAAAGGAACUCAAAAUGCCUACUAAAGUUAACAGGAAAGAAUUUAAGUAUAUAGACCUUUGGUAUAGAUUCUUCAAAGAGCAAUACUGUAGUACUUCUUAAACUGAAGAUGAUUUGGGGAAAAUGCAUAAUUCCAAUCAGUAGGGCUUGGUGAAAUUCACCCAGUAUUUUAAAAAUCAGUGACAGGUAUCAUAGGACCACUUGCCAUUCCUGUUUUUGAGACAUCAUGGAAGAUGAGAUUCUUCCUUGAUGAAAAAGGCCAGUCACAUAGUGACCCAUUGUUAAACAGAAUGACCUUGGUAAUUACAGACUAGUCAGUCUAACCUUGACGGCUGGGAGGACAGAAGAACACAAAAUAACUCAAAGCAACUGUCAUGAUUUUGAGAAAAAUAAACUUCAGUUGUUUCCCCCACACAGCCUCCUUGCCCUAUAAAUGAUAAUCCCUUAGAAUUAAAUUCAGUGCAUUUCAAUUCAAUAAGUGAGAAGAAAGUUCAAGAGUACAUUUCAACUCAUAUUCAAAAUGAAAAAUUCCCUAGUAAAGGAGUUUUACUUGAUUUCACUCUUUGUUUAUAAAUUUAGCAUUUAUUCUGUUUUUUUUUACCUUUAUUAUUCCAUCAUCUUUGACCCACUAUCCUGUAUCAGUAUGUCCUGGCUUAAAACUGACUCCUUAAAACCCACUGUAUGUUACUUAUCACAAUCCCAUACACAAGCAGACUCUAAAUCUGAGUAAGGUGAAGCAUAGCAGAAUGCCAGGUAGCAGAAGAAGCACCAAAAGGUACUCCAAGCUUGAUGUCAUAAUAUCUAGGUUAGAGUCACAGUGUUAGAGUCACUUAACAAAUAGAAAAAUCUACCUGAGCCUCAGUUUCCUUAUCUGAUAAAUAUGAAUAAAAAUAAAAAUAAUGUAUUAAGUAAUGUAAUAUAAUAAUAUAAAAAUAUAUCUAAUAUAAAUAAAAAUAACAGGAAGAAGAAUAUAUAUAAAAUAAAAGAAACAGUAAUUAAUGAAUACAAAUAAAAUAAAUAUGAAUAAAAACCUGUCCUACCUAGCUCACCUGAACAAACUGUAAAGUGGGGCAUACAUUUGAGAUUUAGUGAUGAUAAUGAUGACAACAAUGAUGAUGAUGACAAUGAUAAUGAAAUAUUUUUGAAUAUAGGCUAGGAAAAAUAAGAUCUAUAACUUUUUAUUUAACCCUUACUUUCUAUCUUAGAAUCAAGACUAAAUAUUGUAGGUAAAGGUAAAAGGACAAUAAGAUCUAUGAAAUUGGGAUUAAGUGACUCGUCCAGGGUCACAAGGCUAGGGAGUUUCUGAGCCCGGAUUUGAACCUAGGGCCUCCCAUCUCUAGUCCUGACUUUUUAUUUGCUGAGUCACUUAGUUGCCCCUAGAUGUAUAACUUUUAAUUGGGAAAUAAGAAAUUUACCUAGAUGCUGACUUGGAUGUAAAUCAUAACCAUUUGUUCUUCCAAAGAAAUCCAAUUCUUCCUCCUUGGAAGCCUCGAUCUUCAGGGACAACCUUUCUUAGAACUAAGGCUUUUAUAUGUCUUUUACAAGUUGUUAUUUUUUCCUCUACCCCCCCCCCCAAAAAAAAGUUUAAUGCUGGUUUUUAUAGUACUCCAAAGGAAAUGGGUACAUAUAAACACUGUGUUUGGAAUUACAAACAUGAGUUCAAAUUCCAUCUCUACUACUUUUGGACAACUAGAUGGCACAGUGGAUAAAUAUAAGACUUAAUGUCAGGAAGGUCUGAAUUUGAAUUCUUCCCCAGAUACUUACCAGUUAUGUGACCCUGUAUAAGUCACUUAACCUAUUUGCAUUAGUUCUUUUUCUGUAAGAUGGGGAUAAGAAUAACAUCUACCUCACUGUGUUGUCGCAAGGAUCAAAUGAAUAAAUAUAUACAGAGUGCUGUGCAAGCCUUAAAGAAUUAUAGAAAUAUUGAUUGUAAUUCUCAUUAUAAUUAUCAUCCAUAUAACCUUGGAUAAGACAUUUAACCUGUCUAGGCCUCAGCCCACUACUAUAUAAAAUAAAAUGUUUGACCAAAUGAUCUCUAAGGUCUCUUCCAGUUCAAAAUACAUUACCCUAUGAUCUUGCUAUGUGGACGUGUGUUGCCAUCUCUUGAUAUAUGGUGAGUGAUAGCUCUGUUUUUUUUAACACAGUACUUGAUGGUUACUUCAUUUGCUUUUUCCUGUUUUUCUGCUUCACAAGUCAGGGAGGCACGACCACUUAAAUGUGUAAAUAAGUCUACAUUUCUUGGCUACUAAGCACAUUUUAUUUAGCUUCCAUGGAGAUGGGCACAAGUCAAAAUUUGAAGUCAAAACAAUACAACAAAUUAGAAGGGCCAAUUAAUUCACAUAGCCUCAUGUUAGUUGGAGGUGAAAUACAAAGGUCCCAUAACCACGGUUCUUUCUCUUAAGUAGCUUACAAUCUAGCAAGGAAGGGAAAAAACAAGAUAGUUAAUUAACUACAAUACAUUAAAUUAUAUUUAGAGUGUUAUUUGAGUUCUGGAGGAAAAUUAUUUGCAGACAUUAGAGAUUUUUUUUAAACCCUUACUUUCCAUCUUAGAAUCGAUACUAUGUAUUGGUUUUAAAGCAGAAGAGUGGUAAGGGCUUGACAAUGGGGCUUAAGUGACUUGUCCAGGGUCACACAGCUAAGAAGGGCCUGAGGUCAUUUUACUAAGUUUAAAUCUGAUCUCAGACACUUGCUAGUUGUAUGACAUUGGAUAAGUCUCAUAAUCCUAUAUGCCUCUGUUUCCUCAUCUGUAAAAUGGGCUGGAAAAGGAAAUGGAAAAUCACUCUCAUACCUUUGUAAAAAAAACCAGACAUCCCACAGGAGCACAUUGGAUUUUUGUAAGUGGGCAAUAUCAAUAGCCAGUGCCAGAGAAGUGGCAAUGAAAAUAGAAGUGAAGUAAUAGGAACAAUAAGUGUUGUGAAGAUAGAAUCAAUAGGAUUUGGUGAUUAAUCAAAUAUUAUAGGUGAGGAAGAAGGAUAAGUCAAAGAUAAUCCCAAGAAGAGCACACAUAAAGUAGUGGAAUCAGGAGGGGGAAAGAAUCAGUAACCCUCAAUUGGAGGGAUUACCUUUUGUCAAGUAGACAAAUACCAGAAUCAGGAAUAUAUAUAGUAUCUUACUUGGAGUCCUAGAAAUAAUUAUAAAACACAUGGGGUCAUAGUAUCAUAUAGGUCUACAGAUAACAAAGAUCUAGAGUUCAUCAUUUUACAGAAAAAGAAAUAAAGUCCCUACGAAGUUAAGUGGCUUUUAUCAAUAUCAUUGCCUGACCAGGCUGUCAGUCAGCAUCAAGCUAGCUAGUGGCCAUUUGAAUGAGAUGCUCAACUGGCUGACUUUGAUGCUUAUGGAGAAACCUACAACCCUAUGGUAACCCAGUCAUCCAGUGACAGAAUAUUCAAAAGAAUUUUAGAAGAUGCUAGUCAUACGAUCUCCAUCCUUCCACUAUUUCAUCACAAGAUUCAAGGCAGCAGUUUGAGAGACCUGCUUCUAUCAUAGAAACACUAGAUGAUUUGAUAUCCUCAACUUUCUGAUUUGAGUUCCCUUUACCCUUCAUAACUAACUGAACAAGGGAAAGGCAGGGGGACCUCAUCUAGCAGGAUCCCCCAGUCCUCCAGGAGAAGAGAAGAUAUUCUUCAGAAAGCUAUCUCAAGAACUUUUAUAUUAUCCCUAAUAAGAAAAAAGAAUAAUAAAAGCAACUCCCAUUUAUAUGGUACUUUAAAAAAAAAAUCCUUACCUUCAGUUUUAGUAUCAAGUCUAAGCAAGGCAAUUGAAGUUAAGUGACUUGUCCAGGGUCACACAGCUAAAGGGGAUCUCAGACUAGAUUUAAACUAAGAUUCUCCUGACUCUAGACCUAUCCACUGUGCUACCUACCUGCCCUUAUAUGGUGCUUUACAGUUCACAAAGUUCUCUAUGUAAUCAAUACUCUCUGAGGUACUUUAAAAAAACAAACCCCAUCCUCUCCAUUUCACAAAGCAAGAAAUGACUCCUCAGGAAGACUAAGGAACUUGCUCAUGGUCAACUUGCUAUUAGGUUUUAGUGUUGGGAUUUGAAUCCAAGUCUCCUAAUUCCAAAUCCAGUGUCCAUUUCUCAUUUCAUUAAUAUACACUUCUUUCUAGUCUUUUGUAUAUAAUUUCAAUCUGGAUGUAUUAGGCAUUCAGAAGCUCAUUCCUUUUUUGUAAAAGUGCUAGAUCUUAUGUCUGAAUGCCAUCUAAUCUGGUCAAUAGGAGUCACACUAAUUAAGCAAAGGGUCAUCUUAGCCUGGUUUUUUUCAAUAUCACUUCUCAUGCUUUGUCUGGUUUUCAUAAUUGUUGUAUUUUCUGCUGCCAAAUUCCCUUAGUAGUUGCAAUCCUAACUGAGUUAAUUUCCUGCACCAGGCUGUUGCUGUGCAUUAUAGUCACAAACUGAAAAACAGCUGUCAUUGUCCAUCCAGAUACAGCCCCAUGGUGGGGAAGUGAUUCCUUUAUACAAGGAGGGACAAUGCUUGGAAUGCUUCCAAGAGCUAUACAAAUGUUGCCAUUUAUUAGGAAUAAUAAAGAAAUUCCUGUCAGAGAUUGAAUACUUUCUUUCAUGUGUGCCUUUGCCCAAAAGAAGAGCACAUCUCUUGCUUUGAAAUAUAGAUCCUAAAUUCUUGGGCUACUUGAACAUUAGCAGAUAUUUUAGUAAUAAUCUAAGAUAACUGCAAAGCAGUUAACUGGGUAAUAUUGCAGAGAAAAUUUUGCUAGAACAAAUCAGAGUGGAAAUUUAUAACUCGGGUACAGUCUCUUGUCUCUUUUGUCUGAUCAAAGCAAGUAACAGCCUAGCACUCAUUUGAUAUAAUUUUGCUUUGGUCAAGUGAAGUACAAGAUGAACUGAUAACAAGUUACUUAUGAAUGUAUAAUCAGGGAAUAAUGGCAGAUUCUGGUUUUAUGAAAUAUGAGUCCGUAAGUGGACAUUUGGCUGGUUUGAAGAAUGUGUUGAUAUCUUGGAGAUCUGAGGAUCAAAGAGAAAUGUAUAUCAGCAACAAGGCAUUUAUUAAUAUAUAAUAUAUUGGAGAUUAACAGAAUUCAGCUAGAUGUCUUGUGCCCUGGUAGUUUGUUAUCUGGCACCUUCAAAGACUGAAUGUCAUAACCAAGUUUCUGUUGUUGUAAGUGCCACAAUGAAUCCUUUCAGUUCACAGAGAGCUGUACUCUUCCAUUUUAUCUUUCACAUGGAAAAGCAACAUAAUACAUUUUACUCUUUUUAAGAAAACUUUGCCUGGGAGUUCUAAAAGCCAAAUCCAUGUGAGUUUCUUUUCAAAUGGAUGGAAAGGAGUUUUGAAAGGUGAACUUGAAUUCAGCCUUCCAGCCACUAACAUCAAUGGGUAUUCAGUUACUCCCAAAGCGAUGCACUCUAAUGCAAUUUAACAUUAGGCCCUAGAAUAUCCCACCACUUUGUACCACUAGCUUAAAUAACAUACUGUGUGCUGAUUGUCCCUUCAAAUAGUAAGAUUGUAGCUGCUUGGUUAACACUUUGCCUGUCAGAUUCUCAGAUUCUCAAGUGCAGUUGCUUAUUUCUUGUUUCAGUUUCAGGAAGUACUGAAAAACUAAUAUACUUUGUGAGGGGGAGGCAUCGUGCUGAUGAGUCUUCCUCAGUCAAUAAACAUUUAUUAAGUGAUUACUAUGCACUAGUCAGUAUGCUAAGCCCAGUCUGGACUGGGUCACUGAUAGAGUGCUAGACUGAGUCAAAGAUUCAUAAUGGAGGUUUACAAAAGGGAGAUUUUACCACACUGCCUCAUAUUUGUUUUUUCUUCUGGAUUUUUAGUCUGAGGAGCUAGGUAGCAACUUUGUGGACCUCACUCAAUGCAUAAGCUUUUGUCUUUUUAUUUUAGGACUCAUUUGUAAUCAUUAAGAAGCUUUGAUUCAGAAAUGUCCCCUAAAAUGUAUUAGAAAUAAGUGUAUUUUAAUGGAAGAUUGAACAAAUUCCUAAGCUAGACACAAUACCCAUCCAAGAAUUUCUUAGCUUUUCUGAAGACAAAGUCAGGGAUGAAAACUUUUCACCCAAAAAAAAAAAUUGUCCUCAUUUCAGAAAAUAAAAAUCUAAGAAUUUCUAAUGACAACAAUUGAAUAGGGAAGCAAUGCUAUCUAUGGGGAAUGAGAUAGACGCAUCUUUAGUAAAUAGAAACCAAAGCACAGGAUUUUGAAGAUGAAACACACAUUCGAUAAUGAUCUACUAGACUUUUUGCCAGACCAGAUAAGAGAUUUUUAAAGGAUGAAGUUUUUUCCAAGAUUUGUAUUCCUUUCUUUUAGAGAAGCCAGAAAUUGUGUGUUUAAAAUCCUCUUUACUCUGAUUAUAGUAUAGGCAGAGAAUAAGAUUAAAGGAGAAUGUUUUGGAGCUGGGGUGGGGAUAGAAGGCCUAGGGAAAAGCUUCUCUUGAACCUCUUAGAAAAAAAUUAGAUUUGAAGACAAAUGUAGCUAAAACAUCUGACCUUAAAAACAACUAAAACAACUUCAUUUUAAAAACCUAACCUGUUGAUUAGUUCAUUUCAAAAAAUAAAAGAAAGUAAUGGACUUUCUAAGACAUAAAAUCUCCUCCAUCCUCUUGUCUGGAAGAUUGUUUUCAUCUUUUUCUUUCACUAUCCCAAAACCUAUUUUUGCUUUAUAUAGUGUUUGUUCAAUGCUUGAGUUCUGGUUAACACAAAAUCAUUUAUUUUCUAAACUCUCCGUGUGGGUCUCUGUCUCUCUCUGGUUCUCUAUGUCUAGCUGUAGAUAUAAUUUCUGGGGGGAAAAAAUCCAGAGUAUGCAGAAUAAGAAAUUUGUUAUUUAAUUUAAGAAAUUUUUCCCAAUAAAAGAAUAGAUUUGCAGAUCAUCAACCCACUGGCCACCGAGUGGGAUGGGAGGGAUAUGGGGGAGAAAUAAGUACCUCCUGAGCUCAGAUUAAGUUUAAGGCCCCCUUGGUCCUUUGGCAGAACAGCACUCAUCUUGAGCUCCUUCCCUUAAAUCAUCUCUAAUUGACACUGGCAAAAGAUAUCACAUGCUUGCUUUUCCAGCUAAAGAAAGGGCCCAGCCAUGCAGCUGUCUGCAGAGGCACAAGGGGUUCCAAUCCAUAAAAUAGGGAGAAUCCUCAGAAUCUAGCUGACUGCUGGUCAAACCAGGUGCAUGGUUGGAAAAACUCCAUGGUGAACAAAGGAAAAAGAAAAUACCCAGUGGAAAAGAAUACCGACAUUCUUGCUAAUGAACCUCAAAGUAUCAUUUCUGCAAAGAAUGCAAGGGUUAUUUCAGCUCCCUUGUUGACUAAUUUGUAUGUUCUUCCUACAGAUACUUUCAGAAAAAGACCUAUUGUUUGUUUUGCUCGAUGCUGACACAGUAUCCAUUGUUUUAUAACUGUAAUCACAGCACACAUAGUUGAAAAUGUGGGACUAUGGGAUGGACUGUGUUUCCCCUCUGGUUUUUCAGUACUGAAUACUGUGUCCUUUAUCUUUUAUCAUAGCUCUUUUGUCAAACAUUUUAAUGAUUUUUUUUUCUAGCCACGUCUGUGGCUUGUUACCAAACCUAAAAUGUCAUAGUUCUUUCUUGUCUUUAUUUGAAAACAUUUAAACUUUGCUUUUUAGGACACAUCAUAAGCACAAACGAAUCAUUUUGUUUGAGGUGUGUAUAAAUAAAUAGUUAUAGUUAGGAAUAUGCAGUAAAGAUGAUACUUAUUUUGUAAACAUUCAUCCACAAAUGUGUACAAUCCAAUUGUUCACAUAAACUCUGUGUUCGUAUUUUAACUUCUCUGGAGUUUAGUUGUCUCUCUUGCUUCAUGAGGUCUGCUAUGUUAGAAACAUUUGUCAAGUUUGGGACAGGUGCAGACAUCUGUGGCUUUGUGGAGCACAUGGCUGUCAUAGGAUUAGCUCUUGUGGAAGGGAUUUGACAAACCCCUCUUAGCUCCAGGGAUCUCUUUGCCAACUGUUCUAGGCUUUUUGCUAGUAUCUACUUUAAAAACCUGACUACAAAUGCUAUACAUAAAUGGAACAAGACCUUAUUUCUCUGAUUUGUACUAUUGGUAUGCAGCUUGCUAUAGGCACGUUAAUGAUUUAUUCAGAUGAAAUUUGUAUAAGAAAUAGAAUCAAUAUAUCAUCAGUAUAAUGAACAUGUAAAUUUAGUGCAGUUUUGCAUGAAUAUUCAUUUUUAAUUGUCUGUAGGUGCUACACCCACAAAAGUUUUUAAAUGUUUCCAAAAGAUUAAUUUUAAAAAAAAACAUACAUCGUUGUACUUCUGUUUUAAAAAAUCAGCAUAAGAUUGUCAAAACAUGCUACUGUCAAAUGUGCCUCCACAGAAUUUAUUACUCUGAGGUGGAGAGUGGAGGCUAAAAAUAAUUACCAUGUCUAAAGAAAGAGAUUUUUUUUUUUAAUUUGAAGGGCUGUUGUUUUUAUUUUUUUAAUUAAACUAGAAAUGGAGAUUUAAGGCCAGGGGCAAAGCUCAAAACAGUAUCUCAAUCUUCCUAGUCUUCAUGCCCUUUAUAAAGUCAAAAUUGUAGAAAAUAAACAGAGGCAAUUGACAGCUCUGGAUUUUUCGGACCAGGGAUUAUGGGGAAAGAUACCACUUAAUCAGGAUGUAUGACAUAUUUUAGGAAAACUAUCCUUUUGGCUUCUCUUUCUGCUUUCAUGGAAAAGACUAGUGAGAAUGAUCCUCCAGGUUGUGGCUCUCUGCUUGAACCAGCUUAUUGUAUGACUGUAUGCUCACUUAUAAACUAGUUGAGGCCAGGUAUUAUGCCUUAUCCAAACUUCACAUCUCUCCCCUCCCCAAUCUAACACAGUACUUUGUAUUCAAGAGCUUUAUAAAUAAUUAUAUAUACAAACAUGCUUCCUUCUACACAUACUUAUACACAUACAUAUAUAUAUAUACAAAUAUAAAUGUGUGUGUAUGUUUCUAGACCCAUGAUCUCAAGACCUGAAGUCUUAAGCUUUAAUAGUUUAUGUGGCAUGGUACAGUGCUCUCACCCCAAUUGUAACUGAAAGUUUUAAGUCAAGAUAAAGAAUUUACUGAACUUUAGAAAGAACUUUACCAAGGAACCUUAUAAUUCCUUUUAUAUAAUUUUUCUGCUCAUUUGAUUUUUUAGGGGAAAAGACUAUUAUUAAGUUUUCCUAUUUGUCAAAAUAUUGCAUUUUUAAAUUUACCCCAUAGGAUUUACUAACUGUUUGAAAAGCAAAUAUAUUCAGACACUUUCUUGCUGUGGGACCCUGGAAAAGUCACUUAAUUCCUACAGUCUACCCCUUACUGUCCUUCUGCCUUGAAACCAAAAGGCAAGAGUUUUUGUAAUAAUAAUAAAAGAAGGAAGGAAGGAAGGAAGAAAACUAAAUAUAUUCAAAUCCAGCUCAGAUCAAUAAAAUAUCUCUUCAAAGUCUUUACAAGACAAAUUUAACAACAGAUUGGACCAUCUGUGAAGUGCAUUGCAUUCUUUGUAUAAAUAAGCACUCCUCUUUUUAAAUCAUCAAUCUCAGCAUGCCUUUCUUGAGAAGGAAGAUUCUAUAGCCAUUAGGCCUAAUGGCCUGAAAUCACCUCAUAUACACUGGUUGUUAGUGUAUGAGGCAGCUGAAUUUCAUUUAAAGAGUUCCAUUAAGUCCUCUCCACAUUUUGAAUUUCUCUUUAGUUCUAAAAUAUAAGAGAGGUAGACCACUUGAAACCUAGUCCACUCCCUAAGGCCCUCAAAGAAAUAAAUAACACCAUUAAACCUCAAAACAAAUAAACACUUUCAUCAUAGAUAAUUUUACUAUUCCCAAAGUAAUUUUUCUUUCCUUUAAUUUUUUCUCUUUCUCUUUGUUUCAUUCUUUUUUCUUUUCUUCUCUUCCCUCUACAUUCUUUUUCUUGUCUUUCCUUUUUUUUUCUCCUUCCUUCCUUCCCAAUACUGUCUGAGAACACCCUUCUUACAGAGCCAACUAGCUAUAUGCUGUGUGUUGCCAGUAUGGUAACAGGCACAUGUACCCUACUCAUCAAAUAAAGGUCUUAUGUUUGACAGGGCUCCUAAUUGCCAGCUGUCCUUUCAGAUGGAUUGAGUGUAUCAGGAGUUUACAACAUAUUUGGUAGUCAUAGUGGCAUAUGUGUACAUAUACACAUACACAGAGGGAUGGUAUGUUUUUCAUGUUGGAGUUGCCUAGUUGAUUAAAAAAAACAACAGGAGCUCUCUUUGAAGGACUUAAACAUCUGCCCUCCACUUCACAAGUGUUUUGAAAAUAUCACUAUUAAUCAUGAAGACUAAGGCAUGCAUACUUGAGGAAUCAGGCAGCAAUCUGAAUAAACAAAUAAGAUCAUGUGAUGAAAAAGGAUAGGCGAAGGAGUCAGAGGUCUCUUUAAAUCCUAAUUCUUAAACUAAGAUAAUGAUUAGCUGUUUGAUUGCAUCCAAACAUUGAAUAUCUGAACUUUAGUUUCCUCAUCUGUAAAAUGGGGAUAAUAUUUAUAUUCUUUCUCAACAGAGUUAUUGUCAAGAAAAUGUUUUAUAAAACUUAACUAUAUAAAUGUGAGUUAUUAGCAGGCCACAUGCCAUAUUUGCUUUCCACAGUGCCACAGCUUCUGACUCUGUUCUUCCUUAUGUCUCUUUUCCUCACUCUUUGUUCUUUCCUUUUUAUUACUAUCACUGACCUUGUUAAAAUGUGUACCAGGAAUAUCAUGUAUGCUUUGUUUUCAUAGACCUAUAAAUAGUCAAUAAAAUCAUUUAUUAAAGUUCUACUAUUUGCCAGGUACUAAGUGCUAGGGAUACACAGAAUAAGGCAGAAAGUCUCAGCUCUCAAAAAACUCAGGCUAAUGGAGAUGACAAUAUGCAAAUAACUCUGAACAAAAGUUAUAUAAAGGAUAAUUUGGCAGUAAUCAACAGAGAGAGGGCACUGGAAUUAAGGGGGAAAGGCUUCUUGUGGAUUGAGAGUCAGGCCUAGAGAAAGGAGAUCAUAGGUUCAAAUCUGAGCUCAGACACUACAUAGCUGUGUGACCUUGGGCAAGACACUGAAGCCUCCAUUGCCUAGCCCUUACCACUCUUCUGCCUUGAAACCAAUACACAACAUUAAUUCUAAGACAGAAGGUAAGGGUUUUAAAAAAAAAUUUUUAAAGAAAAAAGAAAAGAAAAACUGAAGGAAUCCAGGGAAACUAGGAGGUAGACAUGGGGAGAACAUUCCAGGCAUGGAAGAUACCCACUGAAAAUGCUCCCCCCCCAGUUGGAAAAUGGGAGUAAGUGCUGAAUGCAGGUGGGGGCACUCUAAGAACACUAGAAAGGUAGAAGGGACAGGAAAGGUUUAUAGAAGAUGCUGAAUGCUGAGCAUAAGAUUUUAUAUUUGAUUUUACAAGUGAUAGGGAGCUACAGAAAUGUAUUGUAUGGGGUGGGGGUUUGACAUGAUUAUACCUAUGCUUUAUGGUCACUUUCACUCCUAAGUGUCAAACGAACUGGAAUAAGGAAAGCUUUGUAGCAGACUAAGCAACCAGCAGGCUACUGCAGUAGUCCAGGUAUGCAGAGAUAAUGACCAGCAUCAAACUGAUGGCUAUGUCAGAGGAGAGAAGGGAGCAUAUACUGGAAUAUUAUAUAGGAAAAAUCUUUAGACCAUGGCAACAGAUUGGAUAUGGGUAAGGUGGUGAGAGUCAGUGAGGUGUCUAUAAAGUAUUACCCCCCAAAAGUGCAGUAUUAUGAGGAACAACUGGUUGGAGUUUUGAUGUCAGAAUACUUUUCCCUGAACUUCUAGGGUCUGUGUUUAUAUGGCUCUGGCCUAAGGUUUCCCAAGGGAACCACUCCCAUCUGGUUAAAAGAAAAUCAAUAAAUAUUUAUUAAGAAUCUACUACUAUAAGCUACAAUGCUAAGCACUGAGGAUACAUAGAAAAAAGCAAAUCACUACCUGCCCUAUAGGACUUUACAUGUAACUGAGGAUAAUAUAACUCAAUACAAAUAAGUAAAUUACAAAGAAGUUGAGGGAAAGGAUUGGGAAUGACAAGAGGCUACACAGAAGAGAGACUCUUGAGAGGAACCUUGAAGGAAAGACAAAAUUCUAAAAGGUAAUGAUGAAGCAGAGGAGUACAUUCUAGAUACAAGGGCUGGCUUGACUGAAUUCAUGAAUGUGGGACAUAGAAUGUCUAGUUUAGGAAACAACUAAUGGUCCAUAACAAACUGAAAUAUCUGUUAAUGAAUGGUAGUAUUAUGAAAUUAAGCUAGAGGAUAGUGGAUAACCAGAUUGUGGAUGGCCUUGUAUGCCUGGCCAAAAAGUUUAUAUUUUAUCAUAUGGGAAGUGACUGAAAAAGACAUAAUUAAACUGAUGACUUAGGAAGAAUGUUUCAGCAAAUGAGUAGAGGAUGGAUUGAAGAGAAGAGGGACUGUGAUGAAAGAGGCAGGAAGAGGACUUAAGAGCAUGGACUAAAGUGUUGGUUGUGUGAAUGGAGAAAUUAUGCAAGUGAAAGAUGUAUAGCCUGGAUCAAUAAGACUUGGCAACUUUUUGGAUAUGGUGAGGACAAAAUGGGCCUGUUAGGAGGAGCAAAGAAUCAAGGAUGAUUGUUGUACCCAAAAUGAUUUUUCACUUGGGGAUAAUUGUGGUUUUUUUCUUCUACUAGUGACAGUUCCAUCACAGAAGGUCUAGACCCAUGAUGGUGAUGGUGAACCUAUGGCACAUGUGCUAAAAAGAGCACACAGAGCCCUCUCCAUGGGCAUGCCUACAGCCGCCAGCCAGAAUUUGUUUCUAGAAAGCCAGAGGGACUCGAGACAGAGCUUGUUCCCUUCCCCCUCUCCAUGCCCCUGGAGACAUUCCUCACUUCAACUACUCCUCUGCCCAGCAGUCCAUUGGGAGUGCUUCCUCUCUCCCCUAUCAGGAGUAAAUUGGGGAUGAGAAUGAUGUGCAGGUGGGAGAGUCACAAUGCUAGGUCUUUACCAUUUCUGGUCUAGACCAAUAUUAGUCCAAAGGACUCCAGAGAUCAAAGAUCAUUUCUGCUGUUCUUUCUUCCCCAAAGCAAAGGAAUCUUUUACCUUUGACUUGCUUAAUAGGUCAUGAAAUCCUGAAAUAUCCCAAGGCAAUGUAGCCUUCUCAGGACCAGGGAUGGUAUGAUACUAACACUACCCAGACCAUUAACUGUCAAAUAAAAAUCUAUAGGAUUGCCUCUCACCCCAAAUCAUUUUAAAUCCAAAGUCUUUGGGAGAAACUAGCUGAAUCACAGUGAGCCAAGUAUUCAUCCAACUUGCUACAUUUGGUUGUAGUCAUCAGGAUAGACUGUAGCAAAAGCUUCUAACACUAUGUCAAUCACAAAAAGCAAAUACCUCAAUAUUUUGCAUGAAUUGGGGGUAUUUAAAUUUUUAGGGAAAAAACACUUCUUAAAAGUCUUGUUUACACAAGUGGAUGAGAUGAAUUGAAAGAAAAAUUAUUGUGGAAAAAUUAUUUCUUUCAUUCAAGGAAAAUGGAGUGUCAUUAAUUAGGUAAGUCUUACAAAAAACAUGGUCAAAACUCAUUGAAUGGUUCUCCUUUAAAUGAAACAUGGGCCUAGGGUCCUACAUGCAUACAUCUAUUUGGCCACAUCAGCACAAAUAAUAAUUUUAAGUUGUGUCAUCUUUAAACAAAAAGAAUAAUCACACAUAUAGCCUGACAGAUUAUAUUAUCUGCAAUGUAAUUCCCCAAAUCUCAACUAGUUGUUUCAAAUAAAUAAAUACGUAAGAACAGUGAUUGUAAAUCAAAUCCUCAUUAGGGAACCUGCUAUAACAGCAUUCCUUUGACUACAAAUUGAAUUUGCUUUCAGAAAGAUGAUAUAUACAAUAUACAACUCUCAAAAUCUUAAAUAUUCAUAUAUUCAAAUGAUUCUGUGAUCUCAUCAAUGUACUUUCUCCAUUGAUGCAUAUUGCAAUUUAUCCAUACCUGGCCAUUCUAAGAGUGAUUUUUCCUUUUUUUCCUAUUUAUCAUCUCAAUAUAAUACUUAGGCUAUCUAUUAGUUAUCCUGGAUUCUCACCAUUUUACCAACCUAUCUUCUUUUCACUCAUAUAUUUCUUUGAUAAUAUCCUUUUGGCUACCAAAUGGCAGCUAGGUAGCACAAUGCUAGACCUGUAGUAAGGAAGACCUGAUCUCAAAAUCGGCUUACACACUUGUUAGCUGUAUAACUCUGAGCAAGUAACUUCUCCACUACUUCUGUUUUCUCAACUGAGAAAUGGGACAAUAAUUAUACUUAUCUCCCAAGAUUGUUGUUAAGAUCAAACAAGAUAAUAUUGGAAAGUACUUAACAUAGUGUCUAGCACAUAGCAGGCACUUAAGUGCUUAUUUCCUUCCUCCUUUCCACAAAAUCUAUUAAAGAACAUAUUUAUUAUAAAUAAGGAAGCACAUUAUGCACUGUCCCAUUUCCACUACCUUGGGUAUGUGUAGCUGAUGUCUUCAGUAGCAACUUCUUUUGAGGUGUGGUUCCAGUCUUAUUCCAUACAAUAUCUUUUUCUCCCCACAAUAAGUUCUUAAUACUACUUCUUUUCCCCCCAAGAGAUAUUAAGACAAUUUUUUGGUAGGGUAUAUAGAACAGAAAUUAAAAGGAUAGCAUUGGUGUAUGAAGCCCUCAUGAUUGGCCUACACUGUCACCACCACCAUGUUCUUCCACUCAUUCUUCCAUAAAUUCCUAUCAUCCAGUUCUGGUCUCCACCAUUGUGUCAAAAUUGCUCCCUUAAUAGUCACAAAUGCCUCCAUAUUGUAUCAUAGUUCCCCAGAUCCUAACUGAAUUUACCAGACAUCAAUAAGUAAGCUUAUACAAUUUAUAAUUUAUCUGCAUAUAAAUGCUCUGCACCUACUAAGUUCUUGGAGGACAAGAACUUUAAUUUUUUUUAUCUUUGAUCCCUUAAAGGCUAGUGUAAUACUUGCCUUAUAAGUAGUAGGAGCUUAAUAAAUGCUUACUAAUUAUAGACAUUGAUUUUUUCUCUAUACUCAGACCUCAUCUAUUGUCAUAGCUUCCUUUACUACAUCUGUGCUAAUGAUUCCUAAAUCAGUAUUUCUAGUCACAUUUUCUCAUCCCAGCUCCUAUCCUGAAUCUACAGCUGCCUACUGAGUGUUUAAUAAAAACAAUAACUAUCAUUUAUAAAGCACUUUAUGGUUUACAAAUAUUUUAUCUUCACAACAACCCUGGGAGAUAGGCACCAUUAUUAUCCCUAUUUGGCAGAUAGAGAAACUAAGGCAUAGAGAUUAAAUAACUUGUCCAAUGUUGCUGACCAAACUGGAACUCAGAUUUUCCUAAUUCCAGACCCAGUGCUGUAUCUUGUGCCACCUGCUUAGCACUUAAAUGUUAGAUCCACUUAAAUAAUCCUGAACUUUCCUAUAUUUCAUCUUCUGCAUCCAGUCAUUGCUACCCACAAAAAAAAAUGUUUUUCUUCUGAAACAGCUUAUAUUCAUCCUUUCACUUCCAUUCCCAGAGCUAGUCAUACUUUAAGUACUUUAUCAGCUUAUGCUUGGAUUGUUGCAAUAACCUCCUACCUGGCCUCCUUGACUCCAUUUGCUUUUCUCUUCUCCAGUCCAUUCUGGAAUCACUUGAUACAUUUACUUCUCUUGUACAUUUCAAGGGGUCUAGCACCCUUUAAUGAGAUACAACUAAUUUAUAAAAGUUAAAAAAAAAACCCUUAGAAAUUGGAAAUCUUUCCUCAAGUGGACUCCAAAUCAAGCUUGGCUAGAGCAUAGAGUGUAUUGAGGAGAGUAAUAUGAGAUAUGGCUGGAAAGUCAGGGUGGUGUCAGAUUAUAGAGGGCCUUAAAUGUCAACUGAAGGAGUUUAAACUGUAAUUUAUUAGGCAAUUAGGAACUAAUGAAGAUGCUACUAAUAUAUUUUAGGCAAAGGAAUGACAUGACUGAAUCCAUGCAUAAAAUUUUAAAAGCAUUAUGCCAAAAACAGUAUAAAGAAUAAGCCAGAAUAUGUAGGAAUUGCUAUUCAUUUUCAAUCCUCUCUUUCCAUAGGCUUUCUGUUUACCUAAAAAUAUACUCAAAUGCCCUAAUAUUGGAAGAAUCUACAUCCAACCCUUAACUCCAUCCUGCUUUUAUCUUAUUUAUUUCCUCCUCUUCAAAACCAAAUUUUUUAAUUGAAUUAAAGAAAUUUAAUCCUGUAUAAUUUCAUUCAGUGAACAUUUUAUUAUGCAUAAGAUACUGUGCUAUGCAUUUGAGAUAAAGAAAUGAAAAUUGGCAGUCCCAGCCUCUAGUCAAAUGGGUGCAGUUCAACAUGGACGCAAAUAUGAUACAAGGUAGACUAGGAUAAGGACAAAGAAGAUUCUGACAAAUGUUGUAAGAAACCUGAGGAUAAUAAGAACUCUUACCUCUAGGGAGAGUAGGAAGAUUUGGAUGUCAAAAAAAGUCUUCAUAAGCAAAGUGAUAAUAAGAGCCCUUACUGCUCUUCUGCCUUAGAACCAAUACACUGUAUUGACUCUAAGAUGAUAUUUUUUAAAAAUGCCAUAUAUAUAUAUGGCAACUUUAUAUCUUAAAUGUUUAUAUAUAAUAGCUUCCUCUUCCAACCAAUUAAAAAUGGAUGUAAUUAAUGAGUGAUUCUGCACACAAAUGAAUUUUCUGUGUGUGUGUGUGAGAGAGAGAGAGAGAGAGAGAAGAGAGAGAGAGAGAGAGAGAGAGAGAGAGAGAGAGAGAGAAGAGAGAGAGAGUGUGUGUGAGAGAAAGAAAGAAAGAAAGAAAGAAAGAAAGAAAGAAAGAAAGAAAGAAAGAAAGAAAGAAAGAAAGAAAGAAAGAAAGAAAGAAAGAAAGAAAGAAAGA